GUUGUUUGUCCAUUACUUGCUUGGAAGGACCUUGAAAAUGAAGUUACAAUAAUUAUAAGCCAUAUAUAUCAGCCAAAAUGCAUUUUUUAUUAAAGAAAUUAACAAAAAAAAGUUUUGGUUCAUUUUUUUGAGCUAAAAAGAGAGAGCGAGGUAUCUGUCUCCAAUUCCAUAAAUCCCUCCCCAGAUUCAAACUUGUCACCACGUUGUAGUCUUAAGUUCUAAGUUCUAAGUUCUAAGCUUUGAGGUAUCCCUUCGAGGACUUUAACUAAACAGGCUUUAGAUGGAAGUCAAAACUAGAAUUCUAUUGAAUUAGACUUAGAGUAUGCAUGCAGGCAUAGAACAUUUCUAUUUCAACUGCAUGAUUGUUGGAAAUUUGUGUGUUAAUAAUUUCUUUGGACAUGUUGGUAUUUGGGUGUAGGGGUAUGCAGAGCUACUCAAGUUGUUGAUCUCUUUUCAACUCUGUCUCCUGAGAUUGUUGUUCGGGAGGCACGGUUAGAGGACUGUUGGGAAGUGGCUGAAACUCACUGUAGCUCAUUCUUCCCUGAAUAUUCCUUCCCUUUGGAUUUUGUAUUGCGAGUUGACAGACUGGUGGCAAUGCUGUCAGGAUUCUCCAUUCCACCUGGUUGCAGGAGAACUUGUUUGGUUGCUGUCAUUGGUGGUUCAGCUGAUGAUACAUUUUUAUUUGGAAGUGAAGAUUUCAAAAUUGGAGGUUUUGAUGGGAAAUUUAGUCUUAAUAGAGGUUAUGUGACUGGUAUAUUAACUGUGGAUUCUGUUGCUGAUUUUCUUCCUAGAAAAGGACCGCUCCGACAAAGAAGGUGAGUUCAAAAUUUCCAGGCUUUUUCAGACUAGCUUUAUGUCAUUUAAAGAUGAAACAUGCUACUUAAAAAUCACUCUAGAAGAAUCUUGUUUUACUAACCAAUAACUACCUAUGCUGCAAGUUGAAUGUGUCAGAAAUUUUUGAGUUUUAUUGUUGCAAAAAUUGCUGCACGUCAAAUUUACUGAAGCUUUUCCCUUGAUUCUUUAAUCUAAAUUUGAUAUGUUACCCCUUCAUGUUGUCAGUAAUUAACUUACAUGCUCUACGUCUUAGGAAUCUGUUGAUAAUCCAAUAUGUAGUUAUGGUUGUCGGUAUAUGUUUGUUAAUAAGUUGACUUAAACUCAUAAUUUCUUAAUGGUUUUUGCAUGUGCAUGCUCUACGUCCAUCUUUUGCUGGUUCAUCUCCAAGUGAAAAUGGGUAAUGUCUUUUGUAUAUCAUGCGGAUAUUUUGUGGCAUUGCCCUUACAAAGCCAUUCUUUCUUCUUCUUUUUUUAUUCCUUUAAAAAUUCCAAUUAUGAUUAACUAACUUUCAUAUAUAUCACAUAUUACAUCCAUGGAAGAGAUUAAUAAACAAACCAACGUAAACUCGGACUAAGGUGGGACUUGAACCUGGGACCUAAAUGUUUCAGGGCCACCUCCUUGUCAUUGAGACAAGGCCCCAUUGGCACAAAGCCAUUCUUUUAUGAAAUUGAAGAGCAGUUUGUGUAGCAGGCUUAGAGUGGUUUAGACUUUUAGCUGAUUAGAGUUGAGUACUCGUGAUCCCUGUGUGCUAGUUGAUUUGGUAAUAACUAUUCUGAGACUGUAUAAUUGGCUUUCACGAUAAGUAACAGACUGUUUUCAUCCCCCUUUGUUUGAUAAACUAAACCCUGCGCCUGCCCCUCCAUAACAAAACAACAGGAAAGGAAAAAGAUGAAAAAGGUUUUCUCUUUUUCUAUCCCUUCUUGUUGUUCUGAUUUUUCUUUUUUCAAUUCAUAAGCACCUAUCUAUUAGCAAAAUACUUCAAGUCUUGCAUCUUACCUUGUAUAUCUCAACUCAUUCAAGAUUUCAUAAACAAUGAGAGUUUUAAGUGAACCAUGAUCCUACAGGAUGCUGAAUAUGUAGCAAAGUUUCUACAUAAGUUAUGCUGUCUUUCUAUUCUAGAUUAUCUCUCAUUUGGAAAAUAUACUGACUAUCUCUUGCAUAUCCUCGAAAAUUAACUGUCUUAAAAAUAUUAGAAAUUUUUCUGGAAUAAGGCCAUACGAUGCAAUAAUUGAAACAACCAUGCUGAAAUCAAUUAGUGGCAGGCAGAGCACAUAUAUGCUACUAUUACAUAUUGAUGCAUGUAAAUAGAGAAGCUCAGUUAAACCUCUUUCUCAUUUAAUUUUAUUUAGUAAAUGAUAAUUAGUGUUUCUCACUAGGACAGAAAUAUACCAGGCAAAUGAUUGUGGGAAGGCAGAAAGAGGGAGAGUAAGGUUGUGAGGGAAAGCUGGAAAGGGGUGAAACUUUAUGAUGAGAGAAAUAAUGAUUAUAAAUAGAGAAGAAUGCUGUAAGAUGAUAUUUGCUGUUGGAAUCACUUGUGGUAGAUUAGAUCUGCUGUAUGUCCUAAGCAUUAUGUAUCAGUGUUCAUAGAACUUUGUUCUUAAUGUGAAGUUAACCUUCCAGUCACGGGAAGUAUUUUGACUGCAGCAGUUCUCUUGAUGUGGCAAUUGGUUUAUCACUCCUUUCUUAUCCUUUUUUUUUUGGAUACUUUUAAGUUGCAUGGUAUUCAUCUUGUGAUUAAAUACUCCUAUUAUACAAAUGACACUUGGGCCUCUUUAUCACAGGACUGGAAUUGCAUACAUAUCUAAUGUUGCAGUUCGGGAGAGAUUUCGUAGGAAGGGAAUAGCUAAAAGGCUCAUAUCCAAGGCAGAAGCUCAAGCGAGGAGCUGGGGCUGCCGUGCCAUUGCUUUGCACUGUGAUUUGAACAACCCUGGGGCAAUAAAACUGUACAAAGGCCAGGGUUUCAGAUGCAUUAAGGUGCCAGAGGGAGCAAACUGGCCACAGCCCAAGACCUCACCAGAUGUGAAGUUCAACUUCAUGAUGAAGCUUCUAAACACCCCUACCAUGGCAUAAAUUCUUUAAUAAACAUCAAAAAGAUAAUUAGAAAACUCAUCAAAGAUGCAAAUAUGUAGGAUGUUUUAGUUGUAUAUAAUUUAAUCUGAUGGAAUUAACUUCAGAUAUUUGCACUUACUGUAUUUAUUGUAUCUGUAAUGUUAAUGUUACAAUAAGUUGUCUGUGUGGGCAAUACUCUUGCAAAGCUCUUGCUAGUUAUAAGAAAUUAUUUCCCUAGCUUGUUCCACACCUUUUUACUUCACUAAGUGUUUUUGAGUGUAAAGGCAAGAUACUAGAUGUUGCUGUUAAGAUUGGAUAUAUCUUCAGCCUCAUCUCUAUUGUUUGGAACCUGGAAAAUUGUGUAUACUUGCAGAAGUCCCUGGCUGGUUUUCUAGGCACUUUUUAAGAGAAGUGUACCAAAGACUCCCUCAACCUCAAAACUACCAUUAUUACGUUAGGCAGGUCAGCUCAUCACGAAAGAGACGGCAGCCACUGGAACACAAACCAAAAGCCGAAAGAGAUCGCUGCUCGGCAUAUUGGGGUUGGACAAAUUUGUCUAAAGCAGAUGUGUCCAAAGCUGGAAACUCCUUCACAGCGGCAGCUACUUCAAGUCCAAAUUUCACAGCAUCUUCACGGCUAGGUGCCUACGAUGUGUUUAGUUUCUGUUCAGUUAAGAAAUUACGGUGCUUAUGACAAAUUUAAGCUAAAGUUGAUACUGCUUUCAUACCUCAAUGUUAAGAGGAAGGACGUGAUCAUGAAGAGGAAGCCUAAGAAGGAACCACCCUCCAAAGCCAGAAACUCGGACCUGUGUCCAGAAGGAAGUUAGGGAAACCUGUUCUGUAGGAAUUAGGAUGGUGUGAAAUAUACAACUGUUGGGGCCACAUUUGCUACUCAGUUUACUACCUCAUAAUUACUUAAACAGAAGCCGACGUAUAUGCAUUUCUAACAGUAUAUCGAACUGACACCUUCAUAGUUAACAGGUGCUUUCUGAAGCUUCGGAUCUGAAGCAAUAGAGUUCUCCAAGUGCUUCAGCACUGCUUCCCCAUAAUAUCAGAAAGAUCUGCAAGCGUCUAACUCUCAGAAACUUUAAACAAAUCAUGGAGACAUAAAAUGAUCAGAGCUAUGUAAAGCACCAUACCCUCCUUUAAGAUCAGGAUGACUCUGCUUAAUCUUUAUCUCAGUUCCACAGCAAUAGCUGGUUCCUCCAGACGCUCAACCAGAUCUGUUAAACUUUGCUUCCAUCAUCUCUACCAGAAGCCCUGGCUGAAGCAAGUUUAUUUAGGAGUUUGACCUGCACUCAGCAGAAGGUCAAAAAGAACCAAAUUAGAAAAACAAGUCUAUGCGCACUUCAGUAAAUGCUUUGGUUGAUGCAUACAAGCCAACCAAAAGAAGAGGCUUGUCCACACCUUAAAUUAAAAGCUUACCAUCAAGUAUGACCCAUCAUCAAGCCAGUGAUCCUCCUUGAGAGCUCCUUGGCCACUGCUCUCUACGGCCAGAUGUGAUUCUUCUCCAACAGAGUUCUGUCAGCAGAUAUAUUUGCUUUAGUUUGGAACAUUUCAAUGGGUAACGAAGAACUGAAAGUUAAACAAGAUGAUUGGCCAUGUUGUUGUAAAUAGGUGACAAGGACCUCCAAUACUGAACAAUGACAUGGCAAGAUAUGUCACAUAAUGUCCAUGCAUUCUAUUAUUGAGUAGAAAAGAUAGCAUACUAGAGAGGGGACUUCGAAAAGAUGAAAAGUAGAUCAAGAAUUUUGCCAAUGACUAAUGCUGAAAAAGGGCAAACUAUAUUACAUGAAGAGUGAAGGUGCCACGCUUGUUCAUCCCUGUAUAAACCAUAUCAAGCUGUUGAUUGUAAGUCUUUAAAUGUCAAGGGAUCAUACAAAUAAUGCUUAGCACCAACUAUUGGGCAAAGAAAAAAAAGUUUUUUGGAUUCUUAUUAAGUUGUUAACAUCCCAUAUACUUAAUUCAGAUCCGAGCUCUUUCUUGUUCACCUUCUAGCACUCUACCUGGUGGAACCAUAACUGGUUUAAAUAGCAAAACUAAGAUAAAAGAAAUGAAACUUACCAUGCGAAUCGCCUCAUCGAUGACAUUCUUAUAGCCUCUUGUAAAUCUAUAUGGCGCUUUCCCCCUAAAAGAAAUUGCAAGUUAUAAGGUAUGCUCUAGAAGAACAAAGUAAAUACAUACAUGUCAGUUCAGUUUUUAUCAUACCAAGUUCCUUUUCAAUGAAUGAAGUAAGCCCAUCUGAAGUCACACUGUCUGUAACAAUUAAUGGUUGUUCCUGGAUGGGGAAGAUGGAGAGAUUAAAUGGAGCAGAAAACUAAAAAAAGAAAGGCUGAAACUUUGGUUUAUUUACAAAGUGGGUACUGAAAAUGUGGAAGGAAAUAUCUUACUUCCUCAAGCACAAUGGCAGACAUUAAAGCAAUUAGACAUUUCGAUUGAACCCGCGAACAGUGGAAUCCACAGCAGCAGACCUGAAAGGAAAUGCUUAUAGCAUGAAAUGAAAAAGGAAGAAGAAGAAGAAACAUUUGAAUAUAUAAAAUGAACAUAUAAGUUAGAUAGUGAACCUAUUACCUAUCAACCUCUGCAUCAAAGAUGAUCCCCAAGUCGGCCUUGUUGUCAAGAACUGCCUGGGUAAUAGAGCUUUCAUUGCAACUUUAUCCUCAGGGUUGGGAAUAUGAUUUGGAAACAUACUUGAUCCCAUAAUCACGUAUCCUUAAAAUUGUCAAUAUGUAAACCCAAAAUUAAAACACAAACGAAAGUUUUCAGGAUAAAACACUACCACCUGGCUCCAAGAACUGACAACCAGAAGUAAUAGCACCAAAAGGUUCAAGCACCUUUGCCUGGAUAAAGCAAUUGGAAUACAUACCUUAUGAUCAAACUGGGAAAAAAUUGCUGUUGCAAUAAUAUCAUAUAUGCAGACAUUUACUCAGGCUGCAAGCGUCUUUUUGGAACCAAAUGCUUCAGAAACCAGUGAUAGGCAGUUGGUACCAUGAAGGUACCUUCGCCUUUUGCUUAUCUAAAAGAAAUAAAAUCUUAUACUAAAAAUAAAAUAUUGCAAUCUGAGACGUAACAUAAAUUUAUAAAUCAAACUUACUGCAAAAAAUUCUCCUGCACCAUUUCCUGCAUCAACAAUAAUGUGGAAUCCCUCCAAUGGCUUUUCUAAAAGUUGGAAAUACCAAACAACAAUUAGCAAGCAACACCAACGCACUUUUUAGCAACAGAACUGAACGAAAGAUCUUUACCAGUGAUAAGUAAAAUAAGUGACCUUUUUAAAAGAUGAUAAGCACUAAAGAAUGACAUGGAGUUUUGUAUAUAUUGCACCGUGCAUGAUGAAGAAAGAUUGAUCUAUAAAUAAGUUCCCCCUUAUUUAAACAUUUCAGGAAGCUAGUACCUACAUUUCCAGCAGCUUUACGGACUGCCUUCACAAGAUCAGAUGUAUAAACAGCCAUGUAGUCAACCUUUUGAACUGAUGUUGUAAGGAAAUUACUGUAUAUAUCUGCAGCACGCUCCAAGAUGUCUUUUAUGUCAGUUUUCCCAAAGCCUCCAGCAUUUGUGAAGAACUUGAACCCAUUCCUGUUAUAAGGAAAGAUGACUAGCUGUUCACAAGAUAAAGUUUAUCAGGAAAAAAUGAUCCUCGAAAAAUAUUCUAGUUUAAACAAAAGGAAAUCCUGAAUUCACAGAAUAUUUCAUCCAAGGAAAUGAUAAUGACCACUGUGCAGCAGGAUUUUCAUGCAUGUGUACUCUUACAUAUUCAAAGAUGCCAUCCUCAGACGAAUAGAGCCGUAAACUACCUGUUAUCAUAAUAACACCAUCAACUGGACAUAAAAAUGCCUCGUCUUCAGUAAGAGUACUGUUAAAUAUUGCAGGUGUAGAUGCUAAACUACAAAUGGAAAAUGACUUCAAUUAGUAUAAAUGGUUGCGUACAUCAACAAGGAAAACAUAAAUUCUCAAUGGUAAUAUGCAGUAACACCAAUUCUAGACUAGUGAACAGAAAGAGAUAAAAGUAAAAGUAAACCUUACAUCAAUCAACGACACUGCUUUGUAUAUCCUUAACCAUCGAAAUCUCCCAUUUGUCAGAAAGUUAUCUUCAAAAGUUAUCUCCAGGAAGGAUGGAAAUCCUGAAAAGGUAAAUACUUAUGUUGUAAAUUUUCACCUACUACUCCAAAUUUAGAGUAUCUAAUACUUAUUUAAUUGAUUAAAAUCGAUUAAUUUAAAAUUAUUAAAUCGAUUCAAUUCGAUUAAACCGAAUGCUCAACCCUAACCAUUCCUACUUGUUACAACCCAAUUCCAACUCUUUAAACAGCUCAUUCGAGAACAACAAAACGAAUGCUGAACCAUACAUCAAGACCACAAUGCUUUCUUCCCUAACCAUCUAGCAUAGUUUGAUUUACAAAUAGAAACAGGACCUGAAAAAGUGUAAUUGAUAUGACAAAGAUUUAGAUAAAAUUCGUCAUUUUUUAAGGUUUUUUCAUUAAAAAUAAUAAAAUAAAAAACGGUUAAAUUAAUUAGAGCUUAUUAAUCAUAUACACAAUUUUUAACGCUACAUGCUUGGGUGCAACCUCUCUGGGUUGAGGGUAUUUGUUUGAUCCUAUCGGCAACCAGUCGUAUCAAAUUGUUUUGUUUAUCUUUAUAUGCUGGGAAGGCCAUGACAGGGGUCUUAUGUCCUGCACGUGUCAAACAGCAUCACUACCAGACAAGGGUAGUUUUUGUAACCAAAUUUCAGUACGAAUCCAUUCAUGAUGCUUUUCAUAAAAAAUUUCACAUUUUACAGUCAUUGAACAAUUUUUUGUUUUGCAUCAUUACUAUUGCAAUUAAUUAGUUUUUUAUUCACAUAUUGUUGAUAUACUUAUUAAAUGUCAUCGAUCUAUCGGUUCUAAUUUUAUUUUUUUUUAUUUUUUAUCGGUUUACAGUAAAAGAAUUUAAGUUCAGAUCAGGUUUGGCAAUCAGAAGGCCAAUUUAUAUAGAGUCAACUCCAGUUUCAGACACAUCAUUUGGGUGCAAGUCAGCUUUGCCACCUUUCUUCAAAGAAUCCAGGUAAGCACAAAGUGUUAUGGAGAGUAAAGGCAAGAUAAUAGAUGUUGCUGUUAAGAUUGGAUAUAUAUCUUCAGAGUCAUCUCUAUUGUUUGGAACCUGGGAAAUUGUGUAUACUUGCAGAAGUCCCUGGCUGGUUUUAUAGUCACUUUCCAAAAAGACGUGUAUCAAAGACUUCCUCAACCUCAAAACUAACAUUAUUACAUUAGGCAGGUCGGUUCAUCAUGAAAGAGGAGGCAGCCACUGGAACACAAACCAAAAGCUGAAGGAGAUCGCCACUGGGUUUAUUGGGGUUGGACAAAUUUGUCUAAUGCAGAUGUGUCCAAAGCUGGAAAGUCCUUCACAGCAGCAGCUACUGCAAGUCCAAGUUUCACACCAUCUUCACGGCUUGGUGCCUACAAUGUGUUUAUUUUUUGUUCAGUUAAGAAAUUAUGGUGCUUAUGACAAAUUUAAGCUAAAGUUGAUAUUGCUUUCAUACCUCAAUGUUAAGAGGAAGGACGGGAUCAUGAAGAGAAAGCCUAAGAAGGAACCACCCUCCAAGGCCAGAAACUCGGACCUGUGUUCAGAAGGAAGUUAGGGAAAUCUGUUCUGUAGGAUGGCGUGAAAUAUACUACUGUUGGGGCCACAUUUGCUACUCAGUUUAAGUAAACUGUCUCAUAAUUACUUCAACAGAAGCCUAUAUAUAUCUAUUUCUAACAGUAUAUUGAACUGACCCCUUCAUAAUUAACAGGUGCUUUCUGAAGCUUCGGAUCUGAAGCAAUCGAGUUCUCCAAGUGCUUCAGCACUGCUUCCCCAUAAUCUCGGAAAGAUCUGCAAGCUUCUAACUCUCAGCAACUUUAAACAAAUCAUGGAGACAUAAAAUGAUCAGAGCUAUGUAAAGCACCAUACCCUCCUUUAAGAUCAGGAUGACUCUGAUUAAUCUUUAGUCUCAGUUCCACAGCAAUAGCUGGUUCCUCCAGACCCUCAACCAGAUCUGUUAAAACUUUGCUUCCAUCAUCUCUACCAGAAGCCCUGGCUGAAGCAAGUUUAUUUAGGAGUUUGACCUGCACUCAGCAGAAGGUCAAAUAAAUCCGAAUGAGAUUAACAAGUCUACAUGCAUUUAAGUAAAUGCUUUGGUUGAUAAAUACAAGCCAACCAAAAGAAGAGGCUUGUCCACACCUUAAAUUAAAAGCUUACCAUCAAGUAUGCCCCAUCAUCAAGCCAGUGAUUCUCCUUGAGAGCUCCAUGGCCACUGGUCUCUAUAGCCAGAUGCGAUUCUUCUCCAACAGAGUUCUGUCAGCAGAUAUUUUUGCUUUAGUUUGAAAUAUUUCAAUGGGUAACGAAGAAAUGAAAGUUAAACAAGAUGAUUGGCCAUGUUGUUAUAAAUAGGUGACAAGGACCUCCAAUACUAAACAAUGACAAGGUAAGGUAUGUCACAUAAUGUCCAGACAUUCUAUUGUUGAGUAGAAAAGAUAGCAUACUAGAGAAGGGACUUAGAAAUGAUGAAAAGUAGAUCAAGAAUUUUGGCAAUGACUAAUGAUGAAAAUGGGCAAACUAUAUUACAUGAGGCACUCAGGUGCCACAUUUUGUUCAUCCCUGUAUAAACCAUAUCAAGCUGUUGAUUGUAAGUCUUCCUUCAUCUACUCUUUAAAUGUCAAGGGAUCAUACAAAUAAUGCUUAGCCCUAAUUUUUGGGCAAAAAAAAUGUUUUUUUAUUCGUAUUAAGUUUUUAAUAUCCCAUUUAGUUAAUUCAGAUCCGAGCUCUUUUUUGUUCACCUUCUAGCACUCUACCUGGUGGAACCAUAACUGACUUAAAUAGUAAAACUAAGAUAAAAGAAAAUGAAACUUACCAAGCACAUCGCCUCAUCGAUGACAUUCUUAUAGCCUCUUUUAAAUCUGUGGUGCUUUCCCCCUAAAAGAAAUUGCAAGUUAUAAGUUUUUUCUAAAAGAAAAAGUAAAUACAUACAUGUCAGUUCAGUUUUUAUCAUACCAAGUUUCUUUUCAAUAAAUGAAGUCAGCCCAUCUGAAGUCACACUGUCUGUAACAAUGGUUGUACCUGGAAGCUGAAGGGAAGAUGGAGUGAUUAAAUGAAACAGAAAACUAAAAAAAGAUGAAACUUUGCUUUAUUUGUAAAUUGGGCACUGAAAAUGUGGAUUUAGGAAAUAUCUUACUUCCUCAAGCACAAUGGCAGAUACUAAAGCAAUUAGACGAUUUCGAUUGAACUCACGGCCACUGGAAUCCACAGCAGCAGACCUGUAAGGAAAUGCUUAUGACAUGAAGAAGAAGAAGAAGAAGAGGAAGUAAACAUUUGAAUAUAUAAGUUAGAUAGUAAACCUAUUACCUAUCAACAUCUGUAUCAAAGAUGAUCCCCAAGUCAGCCUUGUUGUCAAGUACUGCCUGGGUAAUAGCUUUCAUUGCAACUUUAUCCUCAGGGUUGGGAAUAUGAUUUGGAAACAUACCUGAUCCCAUGAUCACGUAUCAUUACAAUUGUCAAUAUGAAAACCCAAAAUUAAAACACAAAUGAAAGUUUUCAGGAUAAACAGUACCAUCUGGCUCCAAGAAUUGACUACCAGAAGUAAUAGCACCAAGAGGUUCAAGCACCUGUGACUGGAAAAAGCAAUUCGAAUAGAUACCUUAUGAUCAAACUGGGAACAAAUUUCCGUUGCAAUAAUAUCAUAUAUGCAGACAUUUACUCAGGCAAGUUCCUUUUUGGAACCUAAUGCUUCAGAAAACAGCGCUAGGCAGUUGGCACCAUGAGGCCACCUUUGCCUUUUACUUAUCUAUAGAGAAAUAAAAUCUUAUACCAAAAAUGGAAUAUUUCAAUCUGAGACAUAGCAUAAAUUUCUAAAUCAAACUUACUGCAAAAAAUCCUCCUGCACCAUUUCCUGCAUCAACAAUAAUGUGGAAUCCCUCCAAUGGCUUUUCUAAAAGUUGGCAAUACCAAACAACAAUUAGUGACCAACACCAACACACUUUUAGCAGCAGAACUGAAAGAAAGAUUUUUUUUUUUUUUGAUAAAGAAAGAAAGAUCUUUACAAGUGAUAAACGAAUGACAUGCGAUUUUGCAUAGGUUGCACCGCACAUGAUGAAGAAAGAUUGAUCCAUAAGUAAGUUCCUCAUUUACACAUUUUAGGAAGCUAUUACCUCUAUUUCCAGCAGCUUUACGAACUGCCUUCACAAGAUCAGAUGUAUAAACAGCCAUAUAGUCAACCUUUUGAACUGAUGCUGAAGCCUUUUUUCCUGAAUACCCUUCAGUUAGGAAAUUACUGUAUAUAUCUGCAGCACGCUCCAAGAUGUCUUUUAUGUCAGCUUUCCCAAGGCCUCCAGCAUUUGUGAAGAACUUGAACCCAUUCCUGUUAUAAGGAAGAUGACUAGCUGUUCACAAGAAAAAGUUUUAUUAGGAAAAAAUGAUCUUAGAAAAAUAUUACAAUUUAAACAAAAGGAAAUCCUGAAUUCACAGAAUAGUUCAUCCAAGGAAAUGAUAAUGACCACUGUGAAGCAGAAUUUUCAAGCAUGUGUACUCUUACAUAUUCAAGGAUGCUAUCCUCAGAAGAAUAGAGCCGUAAACUACCUGUUAUCAUAAUAGCCCCAUCAACUGGACAUAAAAUUGCCUUGUCUUCAGUAAGAGCACUGUUAAACAUUGCUGGGGUAGAUGCUAAACUACAAAUGGAAAAUGGCAUCAAUUAGUAUAACUAGUUAUGUACAUCAACAAGAAAAACAUAAGUUCUCAAUGGUAAUAUAAAUGCAGUAACACCAAUUCUAAACUAGUGAACAGAAAGACAAUAAACUAACACUAAAAGUUACAUCAAUCAACAAAACUGCUUUGUAUAUAUUCAGAAGGGAAACAACUAUUUUGGAUGUGGUGUGCUCUAAAUAUACUAUAGGGAAAAUUGGCACAUAACUAUCAUAGUGACAUUAGUAGAGACACUACUCAAGCUACUACAAUCUUAAGUAGAUCAUAUCUAUGCCACCUGAAUCAUAGCUACAAUUUGACUUGUAGGACCUUGAGCUAGUUUGCCAAGUUAACCAAAGGUAAGACAGAUUAUUAUGUACAUCAAACUAAACUCAACUCACACAGCUAGUGUAACAGUUGACUAGAAUGACUUUUCCCAGCCUAAAAGUUACUCUUAACCAUUUUAAACCGUGGCAUAAAGCCUGCUGGUCUCAAACAAAAACCAUGAAUUUCAAUUGUUCAAUUCAAUGAUUUUGUUGAGACCUAUAACCAGCUAGACAUGUUUGGAUUACCAUCAUAUGACAAACCAUCCAGUAUCCAAUUAUAUAGAUCAACAUAAAAAAUAGAGCAUCAUCACUCACCCAUAUUGAACAACAUCAAGUCCUGCACCAGAAAUCCCUCGAGAAACAGCAUCCUGGAAAGCCAAUUGCCCAAUUCUCAGUAAUCAAAAAAUUUAUUCACAGUAAUUUUCAAGCUAAUUUGCUCUAGCACUAUUCUCAGUAGUUAAAGAAAUUUAUUCACAGUAAUUUUCAAGCAAAAUUGUUCUUGCACUAAUGAUGCCAGUAAGAUUAGUCAAAAAGAAAGCAUUUAUUUCACUUCCUGUUUCUGAAUAUUUAUAAAAUCAAACUAAACAGUUUUGCCAUAGAAGAAAAAAAAGGAAACUGGCAUGGAGAAAAGUAAAUGCCAUCCCUACCAAAACCAAGAUUCUUUUGCUGACAAGCUAUACAAAAAAUUUGCAAACAACUACAAAAGCCAUUUGUAAAAGUUGUGCCAAAGAGUGCAACUGUAAGUAGUAUCAUACCUAAAUAAGCAUGGGUUAGCUGCAUGUCUUACAGAUGAUCAUAAAAUUAAGAGUAAGAAUAUCCCAAGGACUUAAAUAAUACUUUACAAACCAGAACAUUACCAAAUCUACUAAUAGCAGGUGGAUGAAAUUCAUACGGAGUUAGACUCAGAAUAACUCAAAUAUGGGAGAUACCUGUAACAUUUGUGCAGAUAUACGAGAAUCAUGACCGAUUGAAACUUUCAAUCGUCGAGAUGCAUCAACCUUUUUCUUAUCCAACAACCAUGCAGCAAAAGCAGCAGCUAUUGCUUCCGUAACUGGCUCAGUGAGGCUUACUGGUUCUCCCUCAACACCAGCCACAGCCACACCUCGAAUAUCACUGUAUGGUCAUCAGGGAAAUGAAUGAAUAAGCAAUGUUCAAUCACCAUAGGAAAAAAUGACGAAAUCAAACAAAAUCAUUGAAAACCAUUUUGGUUCCAUUUAAAUACUAUAAACCUGUCAACCCAGGAAGAAGAACUGCCUAAAAGGUGACUACAGAAGCAAACUAAUGGAGAUUAUAUAGAUGGUUGUACUAAAUUUGAGCCAUAUUGGAUUAACUGCAUUCUUUUGGUUUUUAGAUUAUGGUCAUGGCAUGUUACUUGUUAACUAUGCUUCCACAAAAGCAACAUAUGGUGAACUGAAUAUUUACAUUUGAUUGUAAUGAUGGAUAUUUCUUUUAAGUUUCAACAAAACAAUCUUCCCACACAGAAAAGCUAGCAGCAUAACAAGCAGAGGAAUAAUCUAACCAUAACAUGCAGCUGGAUUUAAUAAAUAAUACAUGACUCUAUAAAUUGAUAAAGUGAUGAAAAACCUUUUCUUCUCUCUCAUUUUAUCCUUAUUCACAAGUCCUUCACAAUGCUCUGAACACAGUGAACCCAGCUAUGAGGAAUUCUAAACUAUAGAGCAGUGUGAUUUGUAAGGUAGACGUACUACACUUUUGAAGUUAUCAUACAUCCUACUACAACGUUGAAAUGCAAUAACUGCUCUAGUGAGCUGUUAAUAGACAGACUACAUAACCACUCAUUCACUAAGAGCCAAAGCCACAGAAAACUGACUUAAAAAUCAAUCCUAAACAUUGAACAAAUAGACUUGUAAUACAGUUAACAUAGGAUGAAACAAGGAGAAGAGAAUAAUAACUAAUAACAUAUGGAAACUAAUAAUUGAGGAACAGCUAUGCUGAAAUCAACUAUAAACUUAAUGCAUAAUGCAAUCGGAUGGACACCUCACCUGCCAUUUUGAAGCUUCAGAAAGUCAACUUUGUCCAGAGAUGGUACAGCAGUAGCAGAUGAAGACGCUGCAGUAUAAAUUCCAAAAUGAAAUAUAAGAAUUCAGAAUAUGUAAUAAAAAUUCAAAGUCGUAAUAGCAUCCUACAAACAGAAUCUGCCCUGCCAAUCAAAAAGAGAUAUGGUAAAUGUAGAAAAGACAGACAAUCCAAUGGAUGAUGGCAACAAAAAGAAUAUUAGUGCUUUUGGUUCAUUUAAAACGCAAUUGUUGUAUUUGAUAUCAACCUGGAUAGUGAGAGACUAGAACAGACCGUUGCAGUAAAAGGUUCCUUUGCUAACAAAACCACUCUGGUAUUUCGAUAAGUUGCGCAUUUGCAUGGAAGAGAUGCCAGUCCAUGCUAACUUCCCUCCAUGGAAAGGAGGCAAGGUGCGCAUAUAAGGGGCACAACUGUCCCUUUGAUAUUGGGUCCCGAACUGCCUAUUCUGUUGGUAGCACUGUGCUAUAAAAACAUUUUGAACAACCUUCCCUGACAUUGCUGCAUAAAAUUUGCAAUGUUAUCAGAUUUCAUGUGGGUAAACUCUUAAUUAAUAGGUCAGAGUCAUCUACAUCAUUACUAGUUCUUUAACUCUCAUCAGAAACCAUAAUUUCCUGCAACUGGUUUUAGCAUUUACCGGACCUCAUUAUCUACUACCACUGUUAUUCUAUACCAUCAAAUUUGUCAUUUCAGUCAUCCUUUCUGUUCCCUAUUCUUUGUUUUUUAAUUCAUUAAAUACUUCAAUUUUCACAUUCCAUCCCAAUAAAUGACAAAAAAAAAAUCAACAAGAGAUGUGCCAACCUCCAAGCAAGUAUUACAACCAUGAGCAAAAACUUCAUCCAAAGACAGCAACUUUGAGAAAACCAAGGCGAGACCCACUAAGAACCAUAACCAGUCAUCACAAUUAAACUUAUGUAACUCUUAAAUAAAGGAGAAGCGGGAGUUCAAUCUAAAUUCAUAACACUUAUCAACAACAAAUCCAAAUUAAUCAAAGUUCAAUAUUUUAGUCCAACCCAACUUCAGAAACAAAGUAAACAUCAAUUGAAUGACUAAACAAAUGUAAGAAAUAAUUAAUAAACUCAAAAGGGUGCAUCACUAUUCACUCAUAUAACAAGAUGGCCUCAAAUUCCCAUAAUCAUAGGAAAUGGAAUUGACAAAAGCAAAAAAGAAUCUAUUUUUUCUUUUGGGUGUGUACAAAUAAGAAGAAACUGAAUGAAAGUUGAAUCUUUUUUACCUGCCAUUUGAAGAGGUGGGAGAUUUGAUCAGAGAUAGAAGAAACAAAUAGGGCUGAGAAAAAGAGGAGGUGAUUUGGAGAGAAUGAAAGAAACUAAGAAUGGAAAGCUGUGGAAGAAAGAGUUAGGUAAGUGAAGAAAUCCACAUGCUCAGGCUCAACUGCUGCUGGAUUUUAGAUUCGUGCAGGUGUGGACAAUUUAGCCACGGUGGAUAUUUUAGCCAUAGCCAAUUAAGCUCGAUGAAUACAUUUAUUUGGCUUUAACUGUUAUUAUUUCGGAUUGGUAUCAUUUUAAAUUAAUUUUUUUAAAAAUUAUUUAAAUCAACUCGAGUUUAAAUAAAUAAUUUAUUAAUUUACAUUGUAAUAAUUAUUGUUAUUUAUAUCAAAAUUUAAGUUUUCAGUUCAAAUCAAUUCAAUUUGCAUCAAUUUAAAUUUGAUUCAUUUCAAAUUACUUAAAUUAAGUAAUUAAUUUUUAUAAAUGUAGUCAAAUUAAACCAAUUUCUAUUUUAUCUUAUCUCUUUUCUCAUGACAUGUUUUAUUAUUAUUAUUAUUAUUUAAUACAAAUUGAUAAAAAAAAAUUAAAAAUCAAUUGAUUUUUGAAAAUAUUCGAGAUAGCUAAAUUUAAAAAUAUGUUUUAAAUAACUCAAAAUAAAAAUAUGCUUUUCGACGUGAACUUAUUUUAGAAAAUAAUUGUUUUAUAACAUUCAAGUAAUAAAAUUUUUCUUUGGGUUUUUUAAUGUAAUUUUUAACUCCUAUUUCGACUUUACAAGGCUCAAGCACUACUUACAAUUUGUCGAAUCUAAAUAAUAUGAUUUUAAAAAAAUUAAAUUUUAAUUAUUAAUAAUAAUUAAUAUAAAAUUUUAUAUAAAUAUUAACAAUUAUAUUUGCAUUUGAUGUAAAAUAUUAAUUAUUUUUUUAUUUUUUUACAGAUUGAGAAAAUUUUACUAUUAAAAAGUACUUGUCAAAUGUCAAAUACAAAGAAAAUGUAAGAGAAUAAUAGAUAAUAAGUUUUAAAAAUGCUUUCACUGUUGUAAAAUAUUAUAUUAUAAAAAUAAAAUUAAUAUUUUCCUUAAGUAAAGUGAAUAAGGUAAUACUACUUACCCUAUUAUUCUAUUCACACCUUCUAUAAAAAUAUCUAUAAAUAUCUUUUGUUCCACCGAAUAUCCAAAUCAAUUCUAACAUUCACAAAUUUUGUCUUUUUUUCUUCUUUUGUCUUCUCAUGCAACCUUUUAACAACUGCGCCUGCUAUUUCCCAUUCUUUUGGAUAAUUGAAUUACUUGAUGAAAAAUGUAAGAAAUUACAAAUUACAAAAUUGGUAUAAUAUCUAAAAAAAUUUUAAAUUAUUUAAAGAAUUUUAAAUAAUUAUUUAUUUAUUAUAUUCAGUUAAAUCUUUGUAUUUUUAUUUUAGAUAAAAUAGGCUUUUAUGAUUAACUAUUGAUUAAUUUUUUUAAUCAAAAUACCAUUUGUCAUUUAUGUCAUGUGGUAUUUGCGUGUUUAUAUUAUUAUAUCAUAAUGUAUAGUAAUGUGGUUAGGGGUGGACCCUAAAAUUUUUUCUAGUGGUGUCAUAAUUAAAAUAAUUAAUUAGUUCAUUAAUAUCAUUAACUAUAUACAAGUAAUAUAAUUAGUAAGGAUUUUUGACACUUCACUUGUUUCAACGUUUGUAUGCCCUCGAAUGUGGCAUGGUAACAUGAUCACGACAUCAACAUCAUGUCAAUGUAGAUAAUAAAAAAUAAAUUUAAUUUAAAAAAAAUAAUUUAGGAAUUUUUUAAAACAUUAUACCUUAAAAUAAUAUUAAAAAUUAAAAAAAUAAAUAAUAACAUAAAUGAGUUUAUCAAAUAUUCCUAUCAAACUCCAAUUAAAUAUUUUAGCAAAAAAAAACCCUAAUUAAUUAUGGUGGGCACUCAGUACCAGAAGCAAAUUCGUGCUCUGCAAACGGACAAUGGUACUAAGUAUGAUGAAUCCCUUGGUGAAUUUCUAAGCCAUUCAUUAGUGUCUAAUCAUAUUAUUUAAGUGUGUAAGAGAAAGCUUGAAUUCAUUAAUAUAAUUAUUAUUUGAAAGCAAGUCAAGAUGCUUCUCAAUUACAAGAUGAGUUAAUAAGUUAAAGAAGUAAAGAAAAAAAGACUUAGUAAAAACAUUAUAUUGUUAACAAGUUAACAUGGAAACUCAAUCGAUUAACGUAACACUAGGUGUUACAUCAAAGUGAGAAUGAAAAGCCUUAAUCAGUUAGCUUGAAGCUUAACUGAUUAAGAGGGUAUUGAGUACAAAAUAGAAGCUUAUUAACUAGUUAACCAAAAGGGAUAAUUGGUUAAAGCUCAAACUUGAAGUACUAAGAAGUGUCAAAAUUCAAAUUCAAAGUGUUGAUGGUCGUUAAGGGGCGCCAAACCAAGAGAUUCAAAGUUGAAAGAUUUCUUAAUCGGUUGAAGCCCAUUUUAAUCAAUUGAGGAUUGAAGAGAGAGAAACUUCGAUCAAUUAAAGGGAAGAUUAAUCAAUUAGAAGAAAGCUGGCAGAAAUAGCUACUUGAAGAAGUUUGAAAAUAAAAAGUUUUUAAUCAAUUAAAGGCACCUUCAACUAGUUAACGUAAAGAAGUAGACUAUAAGUUAGAAAGGGUUUAAUUGGUUAAAGCCAUCUUUAUUGAGUUAAGGGGCACUACCAACACAUUUGAAUUUAAUCGUUAGAAGAUAACAUAACAGCUAGUAACGGUUAAAAACUAUCUCUAACAAUUAUAAAUUGUCCACCAAGUGUUUAAAGGGUUUCAAAAGGUCAUAAAUGAUGGGAGAACCAUCCCACAGCAAGAUUAGAGCCUAGAAGUGUUAGAAAAUUCUUUUCUCAAGUCUGCUUCACUCCUACCUUGGUAAAAAUGUUUUGAGCUUAACUUUGUACAUCUUAGAUCAGCUAGGUCAUCUUUUCUUUAUUUCUUUUUCAUUUAGAGUGUACGAGAUAUUCUAAGAAGUAGACUAAGAGCCUAUUUGGCUUGACUUUUUUCUAACUUAAAAGCUAUUAUGAAGCUCUUAUGAAAAAUAAUAACUUUUAAAAUUAAGUUAAAGUUGUUUGAUAAUUUUUUUUUUAUAAGUUAUAAUUUUUGUUAAAAUUAUUAUAGAAGGUAUUUUUUUUAAGAGGGUAAUAUUGUAAUUAUUUUUAACAAAUGAUGAUAUUUUUGGAACAAAAAUAAAAUUUUUUUGUAUUUUUAAAAGAAGAGAAGAAAAAGCUCUUCCUUGGAGCUUUUUUUUAAGCUUUUUUUUUUAAAAUUUUAUUCUUAAAAAAAAAACUACUUUUUUUUAAAAGCUUCUCAAAAGAUCAUGUUUGACCUGAUUUUUACUUUUAAGAGGUAGAUAAGCUGAAAAAAAAAAAAAAACUAGGCCAAACAUGCACUAAGCUUAGGGAUCAUUGUAAGGGUUUAGAGUUUGAGUUAGAAGCUCACCUUUUAAAAGCUUGGUGAAAGUUGUUAAUGUUGGUGUUUAUGGGGGCUUUUGAUAUGGUAUUCAAGAAUAGGCAAAAUUGGCUUCAAGGCGAGCCUUUCAAAUAGACAGACAUCUUUAAGACUUAUUUCGUCCCCACCACUCGGUAUGUAAAGGAGAAUAACGUGAAUAGUCUCAAGGAUAUAAUGAAGCCAACGUCUAACUUUCGUAUUGCACUUACGAAGAAGACCGCUAGAUACACCUAAGGGUUUGCAAAGUUGCUUGGCCUUGAAACCAACUUUCUGCAGCAAGUAGAUGAUAAGGAAUUCGGAAUAUCUUGAAGAUGGUGGGAACUAUAGUGUUUAUGUUUAUAAUAAAACAUAACACUUUCUUGCUCUUGCUACCUACACUUUUAGAAUCUUUGGUGUUUUUUGAUGUUGUUCUAGUAUAUCUAAAAUGGUUGGCACCAAGCCCUUUAUAUAGGCUUCCAAGUGUCUCUUCUUUAAGGACACAACCUCUUCAUAAAGACACCUCUUUGUCUAGAAAUUAUCUUUAUGAUUUUUGCCAACACAACUUUUAGAUAUAGUUAUUGUUUCAAUAGUCAUCUUAUGAAUAGAUAACUAUUCACUUUAACUUUUGAGCAAUUGUGUCUUUUCAAUCAUGUCUCUUAACUUUUGGAUAUGAACUUCCAAGAGACAUAACCAUUCACAUGAAAACAUGUCUAUAUCUAAUAGACACAUUAUGUCACUUUUCGUAACAUAACUUCUGAGCUGAUGAUAGGUCUUCCAUCAUGUGAAAUAUCCUUUAAUUUUGAAAAUACACCAAUAGUUAAUUCCAUUAGUUUUAGUGAAGUUGGAUUGAAAAUCCUUCAUUGGAAAAAUCAAGAUAAUGGACGUAGGUCAAGUGGACCGAACCAUUAUAAAUAUUGUAUUUUGUUCACUUCUUUUAACCUUAUAUUUACUUGGUGCCUUUUAACCUUUACAAGUUUUAAACCUUCCACCCUAAUCUUCCAAACGAAUUUUAAAUUUCAAGAGCUACCAUUAAAAAAUAUAUCUAAGUGUUAUUUACCCCUCUUAGCACUCAUUUUGGAACCAAUAAGUGAUAUUAAAGCCUAACCCUUGAUUUUAAAGACUGAACAUCCUAAGAAGAAGAUCCAAUGAUUGCCCAAAAUUCUAAUAUGGCUAAAGGUCAAUCCAUGAUAGAAUAAAUUACCAAUAUUGGAGCACUAAGAUAUCAAUUUAUAUUAGAGCUGUUGACUAUAAGAUAUGUUAUUACCAAAGGCUCUUUCAUUUUUGGGAAAUCAAAUCUAAUUAUGGGUGAGAGAACUCCCCAAUAUAGAAAUGAGUGGACAAAAGCUAAAAUGAGGAAAGUUCAAGUAAACUUUAAAGCCAUCAAAACUCUCCAUUGUGCAUUGAGUCUUAUAAAAUUCAACAAAAUUUUUGCAAAAACAUCAGUUUACAGUUAGAGAUUAUAAAGGGAAUCCUUGAAACCUUUUGUGUUUGUUCUGGUGAAAAAAUUUGCUUUGAAAAAUCCUUUUUUUUUGUUGUUCCAGAAAUAUUCCUAAAAAUCUUAUUGAUAAUUUGAUCUCAAGUUCUAGUUUCUGGUACUUAGAAGCUAUGGGGAAGUAUUUGGGUGUUUUUUUUUUACAUGGCAGUAAUAGAACUCACCUAUUUCAGUACCUUGAGUGACGCAGGAGCGUCUAGGAUUGUAUUUAGUUUUUACUAAUUUAGUUGAUUUAUGAUUUAUUUUUUUUAUUUUAUUUAGAUUAGGAUUCUUUUCUUAUUUUUAUUUUAAUACUUUUAAGAAUUAGUAUUUGAUUAGGAUAGUCAUGUUCUAUUUAGGAAUAGAACACCUAUUUUAUUUAAAUCUCUUAUUAAUUAUUCUAAUUGUAUUAGAUAACUAGGAGUAGAGUUUUAUUAGGAUUUGGGCCUAUAAUACUAUAACUAGGACCCUUAGGCUUAGUUACGAGACAUUCAGAAUUAUGAGUUAAUAAAUAAUAUUUUCUUAAGUAAGAGUGCUUAUUUCUCUAGGCUCUUUUAAAGAGUAAGAGGUUUUAAUAUCUUUGGCCUAGCCAAUCAAAGUGAGAUUUUGGCUAUUUUUCACCUUAGUGGGGUUUUCAACCUUGCCAAGAUUGGUGAUUCACCUUAGUGGGGUUUUCAACCUCGCCACGAUUGGUGUUUUUCAUAAUGCCUAGGUGUCUUUACAACGCCCCGAUGUCAGUUUGGUAUCAGAACGGGAGGAUUAUUAUUCGCUGCAUAAGUUCAGAUUCGCUGUCAAGUUUCGAUACUCCCUGUACGGGUAAUUUUAUUUCUUUAUAGUUAUAUCAUCAUCUUUUUUUUUCUACAUCAUCAUAAAAAAUAAAAUGCCGCCAAGACGUCAAAAUCGUCAAAGAGAUGAUCACGAGAUUGAGAUUGCAGAACUACGUCAGCAAAUUCAAGAAUUACAAGAGCAACUCGCAAGACGUGAUGCUCAAAUAAACAAUAGCAACUCUAGUGAUGAAGAGAAUGACACCAACCCGUUUCAUCAAAAUUUGUCCUCUGAUGAAGAAGUACCUAUUCGUCGCCUGAGAACUGCUGCUACCAGAGAUUUGGGAAUCAAAGUCGACAUUCUUGAGUUUGAAGGAAGACUUCAUCCUGAUGACUUCCUUGACUGGCUCUACACAGUAGAAAGAGUUUUUGAGCUCAAAGAUAUUCCCGAUGAAAAACGUGUGAAGCUUGUGGCAAUUAAAUUGAAGAAACACGCUUCUAUUUGGUGGGAAAAUCUCAAAAGACAACGAGAAAGAGAAGGCCGUAACAAGAUCAGAACAUGGGAUAAGAUGCGUCGAGAACUCAAGCGUAAGUUCCUUCCUGAGCAUUAUCGACAAGAAAUUUUUAUCAAAUUUCAUAACUUGAGGCAAAAAACAAUGACGGUGGAAGAAUAUACAAUGGAGUUCGAGCAACUUCACAUGAAGUGCGAUGUCCAUGAGCCUGAAGAACAAACUGUAGCUCGUUAUCUUGGGGGUCUCAAUGUUGAAAUUGCAGAUGUUGUUCAACUACAACCAUAUUGGAACCUAAAUGAUGUCAUCAGAUUAGCAUUAAAGGUUGAAAAACAACGAUCACGAAAAAGGUCAAUGAGUUCAUCUAGACAACAAGAAUCUAUCUCAAAUGAUGAAAGUCAGAGUUCAGUAACCAUUCCGCCUCCAAAGGUAAACUCUUCCAAAGCUGCAAGUAGUAACGAUAAAAAGACUACUUUUACUCGUGCUUCUAAUGUCAACAAAAAGUGCUUCAAAUGCCAAGGAUUUGGACAUAUUGCUUCUGAUUGUCCGAAUCGAAGAAUUAUUUCCUUAGUAGAAGAAGAAGAUUAUGUGAAUUGGAAAAAAUUAGAACCAGUCUAUGAUGAGUAUGAUGACGAAGAGAUAGAAAAAGUUUCUGCUGACCAUGGAGAAGCUCUUAUUGUUCGUCGUAACCUUAACACUGCCCUGAUGACUAAAGAUGAAAGUUGGCUUCGUCACAACAUAUUUUAUACAAGGUGCACAUCCCAAGGGAAGGUUUGUAAUGUCAUUAUUGAUAGUGGAAGUUGUGAGAAUGUUGUUGCCAACUACAUGGUGAAAAAGUUGAAACUUCCAACUGAAGUACAUCCUCAUCCUUACAAGCUACAAUGGCUGAGAAAAGGAAACGAAGUAAAGGUAACAAAGCGUUGUUGUGUUCAAUUCUUUAUUAGAAAUAAGUAUGAAGAUGAAGUCUGGUGUGAUGUUAUCCCAAUGGAUGCAUGCCACUUGUUGUUAGGGCGACCAUGGCAAUAUGAUCGUCGAGCUCACUAUGAUGGAUACAAGAAUACUUAUUCUUUCAUCAAAGAUGGAGUAAAAAUUAUGUUGACUCCAUUAAAGCCAGAAGACCAACCAAAGAGACAAGAGGAAGAUAAAGCACUCAUCACUGUGCCUAGCUUAAGCAAAGCUUAUUGUGAGUCAAACCAUUUAUGUCUCUUAUUAGUCUCUAAGGAGAAUAAAGUGUCUUCAUCCUUAUCCAAUGAUGGUCAAACAAAAUUGAUCAACCAAAGUUCGGGAAACUUAUCAAGAAGCUUUGUGGAUAACCAUGCCGUUAACAAGACUACAGUUAAGUAUGAUUUUCCUAUCCCUCGAUUGGAUAACAUGUUCAUUGGCUCUAAAGUGUUUUUGAAGAUGGAUUUGAAGAAAAGAGAUCAACAAAUUCGAAUACGACUUGAAGAUGAAUGGAAAACAACCUUCAAAACAAUGGAUGAAUUGAUCAAAUGGUUGGUAUGGACUAUGACAAUAUAUGGAUCCAGACAUCAACAUGGAGUAUGUCCAGGCCUACUCGUCAGAGCCGAGUUUUUCUGACCCGAGGAGAAUGACGCAGGAGCGUCUAGGAUUGUAUUUAGUUUUUACUAAUUUAGUUGAUUUAUGAUUUAUUUUUUUUAUUUUAUUUAGAUUAGGAUUCUUUUCUUAUUUUUAUUUUAAUACUUUUAAGAAUUAGUAUUUGAUUAGGAUAGUCAUGUUCUAUUUAGGAAUAGAACAUUUAUUUUAUUUAAAUCUUUUAUUAAUUAUUCUAAUUGUAUUAGAUAACUAGGAGUAGAGUUUUAUUAGGAUUUGUACCUAUAAUACUAUAAAUAGGACCCUUAGGCUUAGUUACGAGACAUUCAGAAUUGAGAGUUAAUAAAUAAUAUUUUCUUAAGCAAGAGUGCUUAUUUCUCUAGGCUCUUUUAAAGAGUAAGAGGUUUUAAUAUCUUUGGCCUAGCCAACCAAAGUGAGAUUUUGGCUAUUUUUCACUUUAGUGGGGUUUUCAACCUUGUCAAGAUUGGUGAUUCACCUUAGUGGGGUUUUCAACCUCGCCACGAUUGGUGUUUUUCAUAACGCCUAGGUGUCUUUACAACGCCCCGGCGUCAUUGAGGAAAAAGUUCGCAACAAGCUCAGUUCAUGGAAAGCUACGUCACUUUCCUUUACGGGCAAGCUUACCUUAAUCAAGUCAGUAAUUACUACCAUUCCAUACUAUGCAAUACAAACUUUGGCUAUCCCGAUGGAGGUUUACAAAGGAAUUGAUCAACUAUGCCAUAAUUUUUUGUGGGGUGGAGAUUCGAAUAAUAGUAAAGUCCAUCUCAUGAGUGGGAAAAAUGCUUGCAAACCCAAGAAAGAGGGUGGUUUAGGGGUGAAGAAAUGUUUUAGAACCAUGAAUGAGGCGUUUUUAAUGAAGUAGUGUUGGUAUUUGGUGACAAAAUUGGAUGCUCUGUGGGUUAAGAUUUUACAUGCAAAUUAUAAUAUAAAUAAGCUUAUAUCGAAUCAUUUUCAUAAAAUAGGCGCUUCAUCCUUUUAACUUGCUAUUAGUCAUGUUUAGAAAACAUUUAAGCAACAUGUAAUGUAGGCUAUUAGCAACGGACAAGUUGCAAAGUUCUAGAAUGAUAUCUCCAUUGGGAGAAGUUGCAGUUGAUAUGGACCCAAAUUUUGAUGAAGAUAGUCGUGUCAGUGACUUCGUACUAUCAAGUAGGGAAUGGGAUAUUUCAAGGUUAUCAAAUUUGCUACCUAUAAAUGAGUUGAGUUUACUUUCAAACUCUCCCUUUACUAUUUCGAUGGACAUAUCAGACCAACCUUGCUGGUGGAUAACGUCAUCAGGCCAUGUUACUAUCAAAUCCAUUUAUGACAUGUUGAAAGGCUCAUUGAUGCUACAAGUGGAUGAUAGUAGCAGGUUAUGGCAACUAGCUUGGAAAUGGAAAGGGCUGCAUAGAAUUGGUUUAUUUUUGUUGAUGUGUCUACAACAAAGACUGCUAACAAAUAAGAAGUGGGUUAGGCGUCAUUUGUCAAAUGACUCAGCUUGUCCACAAUGCAGCAUAGAAGAGGAAUCUACCUCGCAUGUUUUAAGAAAUUGCCUUGUAGCGAAAGUGAUUUGGACCAGGUUACUUCCAAAUGGUAAUACUGGGUGGUUUAAUAUUUCUUCCAUAAUUGAAUGGUUUUUACAUAAUUUGAAUAGGUGCAAUUGGCCAGUAGAUGGAAUAUCGUGGGGUGUAAACUUUGGACCAUAUAUUGGUUCUGUGAAACCUCGACUUUCAUAGACAUGCAGCGGAGGUAGACACGAUGAAAUGGAUUAAGGGUAGUUUCGUCAUUUUCUGGGUGAGCUUCUAGAAGUGGGUUUUUCUAACAUUAUUAAGGUCUAAAUAGGCCUAAUAAAUAAAUGAAUGAUGUAUAUAAUAAUGAAAUAAGUGAAAAAAAAUAUAAAUAACGAUAAUUUUCACUGUAGGGGUAAAAUGGUCAUUUUGGGUCUCAGGUCUAAAAUUUUAAGUUUUCAUGAACCCGAGUACCUCUAAUCUAUUAUGGACCUUUUCUUAGUGUCAAAAGAGUAAAAAGUUUGAACCAAGUGGAAGAAGAAGGCAAAGUCAACUAUUGAAUGUCAUUUUUGUAAAUAAAAGGAACUUUAGUCAAUUAUAGGAUAAAUAUAAAAAACUUCUAGCACCUUCUUCUUCUUCUUCCCAUCUCUUCUCUCCAUUUCACAUUCUUUAUCUUCCAUGGAAGCCUCCUUAAAAAAAAAAAAAACCUCCAUGACUUUCUCAAACUAAACCCCAAUUUUCUUGCUUUUGUGUACCUUUUCACAAAGUCCUUUGUGCUCUUUUACUCUUCCACCUUAAAACUCUCAAAAGUCUUAACUUAACACUUUCUUUCACUAGCUAGGUGUUUUAGAGAGAGAAUGAGAGACUUUCUAUAAUAGCUUGGGAAAUUUUGAAAAGGAAUUCAAUUACAAAUCUACCAAGGUGAGUAAUGAAAUUGAGUUGAUUUUUGAGUUAUUGAGAAUGGCUAGUGGCUAGAUUUGUGAGUGUUUUGUAGUUGAGGGUGUUUAUUCAUCUUUAGUGUGACUAUAAUAGUGAAAAUAAAUAUCCACUUAAUGGUAAUUAGAAGCUAGCUAGGAAUAACUAGUAAAACAUGAUUUAGGAGAUAACCUUCAAAAUUUAUAGUUAUGUGAAUUGAGUUGAUUGUGAUGCUAUUGUGUGUGAUAGGUUCCAACAAGGCCUCACACCUCCACACAGUGCAUUAGUCAAAGUUGGAGUCGACCCACAAGCAUUAACAAAAACAUGUGAGUUAACUUGCAUUAAAAAUGUUUUGGAAUAAAUGAUUAUGUGCUUGAUUGACCCACUUGAAAUAUUUUAUUGGUUUUUCUUUAAAAUUGCAUGGGAACAAGCCCUUGAUGAAAUGAUGUGUGUUGUGAAUGUGUAAUAUGAUGAAUCUUUAUGCUCCUAGAUUAUGUGGAUAUAUAUAUGUUGUGUAUGGAUAGUUAAUAUUGUGUAAUAAUUAUAAUCGCUCAUGUCCGGUGUGGGAGUGCACGUGCCGGCGAUGACGGGGUGUGAGAGUGUGAAUGAUGAUAUUACUUGUGCGCGAUGUGGUUGUGCGCGAUGAUGACUCCGGCUAUGUGCGGUGUGGGAGUGCACAUGAGCUGGGUGAGACAGUGGUGGUAUAUGUGUUUAUAUAUGUACAUAUAUAUUUGCUAUAUAGAGAGGUUUGGAAUUAAUAUGUAUUUGCAUUGAAUAUUGAAUGUUGAAAUUGUUAAAUGCUUCUAAAUUGAAUUGCAUUGUAGCAAAACUGGAUUUUUAUUGUGACAAAAAUUCUUUUAACUUAAUUGCCCUGUUUCUCGUUGCAGCGAAAUUCAUUCUCGUUGCAACGAGAAACUCUCGGGUGCUGAAAAAUUUCAUGGCUUGGGUUUUCACUGCAACGAAAAUACAUUCUCGCUGCAGCGAGAAACUCUCGGGUGGUUAGGUAAAAAUGCUGCCUAAAUUUUAGCUGCAAUGAAAAUGCAUUCUUGCUACAACGAGAAACUCUGGGGUUGUUGGUUCAAAAUUUUACCCUGAAGUUCGUUAUAGUGGAAAGGCAUUCUCGCUGCAACUACAUUGCAAUGAGAAUGCCUUUUCGUUACAACAAGAUUCGUUCUACUAUGCUUGUUGUGCUUGAACUUUAUUGUACUUUCACUCUUUAACUUCUUUAUUAAUCAUGAAUUUUUCAAUACUAAGGCACUAAAUAAUCAAGAGUUUAAUUAAGGGGUUUUAACAAGAAAUUGAGCUAAAUUGCAGUGUUUUGAACAUAAGAGCAUCAUGUUUUCUAAAACUUCUUGUAUUAAUACUUGUUCCCUUCUUAUAUUCACUUACUGAGUUUAUACUCAUUCUUUUAAACUUCAUGUUUUCAAACUCAGAGGCAGUUGGGACCUAGACUGAGGCAUUCGCGUGCAUUCACUCUUUGGUAGGUAUUUUGGCAUUAAGUAGUCGUACCCUCACGCAAGGUCACUCCGUUGGUCGUCAGGAGUCUUUUGCAUGUGCAAUGUACAUUAGAUGUGAAGUGCUAAGAUUAUUUUGCAAAUGAUAUAUGUAUAUUUGGAUGGAUGAUUCCAUUAUGAGAUGGUAAUGAAUGACAAUUCUUUGGAUAAUACAAAUAUAAAUAUUUGGUCACUAUGUUAUAUUAUCAAAAUUCGUAUGGUUGAGAAUUGUGGUUUAGAAAUGGUGAUGCAUGAUUGAUGAAAUGAUGAACUCGAUUAUAUAUAGAGGCUUGUUUGGGCUUAGUGGGCUAUGCCUAUUGGGCCCAUGCAUUGGUCAUGGCUCGAGUUUUAAGUUGUGACAGGUUCUUAUGGAAAUGGAGAACUAUGUUUCUGUUCUAAGGCAAAAGAAUACCAAUAGAAAGUCGUUUGACCUUGAUUAAGAGUUUUUCAUUAGCAACUCAUAAUUCUUAUCUGGUGGCAACAGAUUAUAUUAAUUCUUCCAACCCUAGAUGUGAGAAAAUAGUGGUAGGAUGGUUGGCUCCAUAAGUAGGGUGGUGUGUUCUUCAUACAGAUGGGGCACAUAGAGGAAAUAUGGAUUAAAUAGCUGCAAAAGGAAGCAUAAGAAGUUCAACAAGGGAAUGGCUAGAAGGUUUUGCAAUGAAACUGGAUAGACGAAAUGCAUACCACGCGGAAUUGUGGGGCGUCUAUAGAGGAUUAAGGCUAGCAUGGGAAUUGGGUUUCCGCAAGAUUGAUCCACAAAUUGAUGACUUGUUAAUGGUUAAUGUCAUUUCUUCACAACAGACAAAUCCAUAUGUCAACUCGGACCUAAUAACCUACAUCAAGAUGCUUCUUCACAAACAAUGAGAUGUCCAUAUAAGACAUAAAUAUAGGGAAAGGAUUGUUUUAAUCGAUUUUAUGACAAAUAUGAGAUUUUCUUUAAAAGAAUCUCAUUUGUUUUAUAAUGAAGCUCGUAUGACAUGUUAAAGGUUUGUCUCCCCCUAUUGAUUUCAAUACAAAUAAAUUCCUUCCCAAAAAAAAACUAAAUUUACUAUAAUAAGAAAAAAAAUUAAUUAGAACAAAGGACAAAUGAGUAAAAUCAAAUAUAAAAGACCAGAACAAAAGGGUAACCUUUAAAUAUCGUUAAACCGGUGAUAGUCGGUCUAAACGAAGCCACGAUAAAAACUCAUCCCACGCUUUAAAUAUUUUAUUUUCUAGGGUUAGCGGAUUUUGGGAAUUAGGAUUUUCUUUUCUCUGAAAUUUUCCAAGGACCAGAAAAAUUCGAAGAUGAUCGAGGUGGUGUUGAACGACCGGCUGGGGAAGAAGGUGCGCGUGAAGUGCAACGACGACGACACGAUCGGAGACCUGAAGAAGCUGGUGGCGGCCCAGACGGGUACCCGAUCCGACAAGAUCCGGAUUCAGAAGUGGUAUACGGUUUAUAAGGAUCAUAUUACCCUUAAAGAUUACGAGAUCCACGACGGCAUGGGCCUCGAACUUUACUAUAAUUAGGAAAAAGGGUUGAUAGGUAUUUUUAUUUUUAUUUAUGUAAUUUUGCGUGGUUGCUGUGUGAAGAAGCUUUAACUUUAUGUGUGGAUGUUAUAUAAUUGUGGAUGAUGGUAUUUACUAUUUUCUAGUACUUUUUAAGAAAUUUUAAGGGAAGAAUUGUUAAAUUUGUGGUUCAAAUUAGUAUAUUAGAAAGUUUUUUAUUUUAGUUAAUAAUUUUUUAGAUAUGGUGGAUUGGUUGAUUUGAGGCACUUGCUUUUGCAUGUUUAAGCAAUUUAGUAUUGUUUUUAUUGCUCAAAACUCCAAUUUACAUGUGAAAUUCAGUUGAACAAAUUAAUUCUGUGUGAAUGCUUAUAGCUAGUGGGUAGAAUCAAUUUGAGGUUUUGUGUAAAAGUCCAAAGCUCUAGUAGCUUGACUUGGACUUGAUUUGGCACUGCUUUUAUAGCUGAAAAUUGGGGUAAAAGAAGUAUGAUUUGGAUCAAUGGCGAAAGCAGGUAGAGUAGAAUUGUAUUAUCUUGUUUCGUAUUCCUUUUGUGGUCAAAUUUAAUGUUUGUGAUCAAAUAUAGUUUCAAUUGCAUUACUAGCUGAGACUUUAAGUUAAUAACUUUUAUGUUCAAAACUUGCAACAUAUGAGUUUGUAAAAUCUCGACUGGUUGAUGCAAAGCUGUGAAUUCAUGCCAGUGUUAGAUUAACAGCCUUUUCCUUCGUCUGAGUGGUUCUUUUCACGGUCCUAUCAAGUUCUCCAUGCAAUUUAGAGCCCCAUAGAUAUCAAGGUUUGAUGACUUGAUAGGGUUCCAAGAGAGGGCAGCUCUGCAUCUCGAUCUAACUGGUUUUGGUUUGUUAAUAUUUGAAAUUGGAACUUGCUGAAGCUCAUUGCUAUAUAUGAAGGCAAAAGUAGUAAUUUCCACUGGGGACUUUCUCUUUUCCGCCAGAGUUUUUUAAUAUCAAUGUUCCUGCUACACCAGAUUGCCCAUGCUAGUGGGAAAAUUCCAAUCACCAUCUCCUGCCUCAUCUGUACAUGGUACAACCCCAUGGGCCAAUCCAGUAUAUGUUCAAGGCCUGAAGAUAAUCUGGAAACUUUCCAUUCUUCAGGUCUCUUUUGCCCAUAAACAAUCUCUUAAAAUCUUAGGCUUGAGACUUCCAUGAUUGGUGGUUUCGAAUCUCUUCUUUCCUUCAAAUUUUUGUCACAUGUAAGAGUAAAAUCCGCGUAUUCUUCAAGCCAUACACACAACUCCAUAAUUAUAUGUGAGAAUAUAAGGAUCAGCAUUGUUAUGAAAAAUCGUAAGCAAGUAGUCCUAAUCAACUUCUGGCCUUCAAAUGUCUUCUCGACAGCACGGUCUAGUCAAAGUUGUCGUGUUGUUUGUUUGGCGUAUUUGUUCUUUUUGGGUAAAGAGUACACCGUUGCUAUCUGAGAUAUCAUUUUUUUCUUACUCUUUGUUAUGCUUUGAGCAUUCAUAGAGGCAAUAGAUGAUCCUAGGUAUAACUACAUCUAAAAAUGAUAAAAGUUACCGUGUAAAUGCUAAACAAGCCUGCCCAUGUUUGAGCUCGCUUCUAAAAAAAAAAAAACUCAGACGAGUUAAAUAUUUCAAAGUUGUUCACAAAAUGCUCUAUUCGUUUACAACCCUAGAGCUGAAGCCUUGCAAUCGAUCUUUGAAUGGCUACUUGUUGUUGGGCACUUUGUGGUGAAAACUAGUGAUACCUGCUUCACUUCUCAUUCUCAAACCAUUUUUAUUAUUAUUUUUUCUACUUCCAUUGUUGAGCCCACUUAACUCAGAGCUGCAAAUGCGUUCGGUGCAGGUUUGGCUAAGCCCAUGAUUAUGGUUAUUAGGGUUGUAAUCUUAAUCAGUGACCCAAGUCUAGAGGGGUUUUCAAACUCCAAAGAGUGAUUUUGGGCUUGAUGACAUAAACAACUAGGGCUGUACCCAACGAUUUGGCACUUGAGAAAGGAGGUGUAAAGUUGAGUUCCUUGAUAUGGACAGCUUCUAAUUGCUUCAAAAAUUGAAGUUAGAUUCUUAAGCCGAAUAUCCUCCACUUUUGCCUAAAUGAUCAGCUGGUUAAUAGACAAUAUGGCUUAUACUAAAGUUUUUUUUCUUUUAAAAAAGGAGAUUCAUCAAUAAAUAUUAGGAGAAUACUAAAUGGUUCGAAAUUACGAUAACAGAAAUAAUGAUAUAUAAAGGUAAAUAAUGUUAAUUUUAAAAAUAAAGCAUAAUACUUAAAUAAGUUUCUAAAUUAUUCAAAAAAAUUUAAAUAAGUUUUUAUUCUUUUAUUGCAUUCAAUCAAACUCUUAUACUUUUAUUUUAAAUCAAAUAAACUUUUAUAACUAAUGAUUGAUUAAUUGUAAUUAAUCAAAAUGUCACUUGUCAUUUUAUAUUCACAUGAUAUUAACAUAACGUUGAUCUAGAGAGUAAAAAAUAUCACGUGAUCAAUUAUUAUAUCAAAUUAACAUAUUAUGUCAUCAUCAUUAUGAUAUGUCUACAUGUCGCAUCAUCAUAAAUUAUAAUAUGUUAACAUAUGACGUUAGCGUCAUGCGGUAUAAAAUGACAAAUAACAUUUUAACUGAACCAAUCAUUAGUCAUAAAGAUCUAUUUGACUCGAAAUAAAAAUAUAAAAACUUAUUUGAUUCAAAAGAAAAGUAUAAAAACUUAAUUAAACGUAACAAAAAUAUAAAAUUAUUUAAUUUUUUAAAUAGUUUAAAAAUUUUUUUAAAUAUUAUACCUAAAAAUAAUUAUUACUAUUCUCGAUCAUUUACCAUUUUCCUUUUAACUAUUGUUUUCAUGUUUUGUCCUUGACAAAAACCAAAACUCAUUAAACAGAAAUCAAAUUAAGACAAUUAAUUGGUCCAAAUCUUGACGGUGUGAUUGUGUUUUCGCAUGCCACAUUGUUUAAUUGCGUAUGCAUAGGAAACUUAAAAGCAAGUAGGAGAUUUUUCAAAUCCCAUGUUGGAAGUAGUAUAAUUUUCCUGGGGGUUGACUCCUGGACAUGCAUAUAUAUAAAAAUCAAUGGGAGUUCUUGGAUCCUGCUCACUGAUACCAAACAUUAAACAUCAUGUUGCCAAUUUCAUGCUAUAGAAAUCCACAAUGAGUUACCACAUUCAACGCUUUCUCUAACCUAAUAAUUACCAUUUAUAAAGUGUUGACAAUUGUUUCUUUCUUUUCUCCUUUCUUCAAUAAAACUAACCCUAUCUUUUUCUUCUAGAAAAUGAAAGUUUAUAAUUAAAAUACCAAAUUAGUUCAUACAGUAGAUUUAAUCUCUUUAUAAUAAUUUGUCAAAAUUAAGUAAUGAUGCAAUACAAAUGUGGUACCAAUAAUGAAUUCAAGAUUUUAUACAAAAAGUGAUUAAAGAGUAAUCAUAUAAGAUUAUAGAUCGAAUCAAUAAUUUCAUUCGGAGUAAAAAUUAAAAAACUAAAAAAUGAGAGCCGCCUCUCCUCGUCAUCACUUUCAAUCUACUCCUGUGUGGUACUACUCUAUUGCUGACGCGAUCUUUUUAUUUUUUUUCUAAAUUUUUAUUUUGAAUUCAACUUUCGGUGGAGACAUGGAUGGUUCUCUGUCAAAUUGUUCUCUAUGUUUUGUUUGAAAAGAUAAAAAUGAGAACAAAUUUAGUUUUCUGUGUGCCCAUCUUGAUCCAAGAGUUGCAAACUUUCAAUGUCAAAGCAUGCCAACCAAUUUACUUGUCUAAUCUUCUAGUAAUGUUUUGGUGUCCUAUAGAGCACAUGUGACAUGUCUUAAGUGUGUGUGUGUAUAUAAAUAGUAAAUUAGGUACAUUCUACUGAUUUAGGUAAAACCAUAAUGAUAAAAAUUUUUACCUUUAAUUUAACUAAAAAAUACUAAUUAAAUGAACCGAAUCAAAACAUAAAAUACCUUCAAAAUCAAUAUUUUGUUUCACAAAAUGAUUAUUCUAUUUUUUGUUAUAUAAGAAAAAUGAUCAAGGUAAUAAGAAUUCUUACCCGGCUAUUCAAACUCAUUAUAUGGGAAUUGACUUAAUUUUAUGUUGAUUUAUUGAUUUAUUUUAUUAUUAGAUUGUAAUUAUGAUUUUUAUUGAUACAAAGAGAAAAUUGUAGAUAUUAUUAGGCAAUAUCUCAACCACCAUAUACAAAGACACCCACGGUUUUUAGCCCUAAAAAUCAAAACUUCAUUAUUCAAUAUACAACCUCAUAUAAUCAACAAAUGUUCCAUUAAACUAUCUUUAAUAAUGUCUAAGUCAAAAAUGAGUAUUUACAAUAAUUAAAAAGAGUUAUAUACAAUGACAGAAUCAAAGUGGUGAUGACCAUCAUCGUUUAAUUUUUUAUUUUUUUAUUAUAAUAUAUGUAAAAUUUAAAAUAUAUAAAUUUAUAAUUUUUUAUGAUUACUCUUUAAUAGCUUUUCAUAUAAAAUUCUUAAUUUCUCAAUUAUAAAUAUAAGCUAACGAAUGGGAAAUUAAAGAGAAAAAAGCACGAUAAUAUCAGGAGAAGUUCAAUUUUUUUUUUACAAGAGAGAUUGAAUAUUGGUCAAAUUAAAAUUAUUUUUGUGAUGUGAGGAGUGUGUCACUUUGAACAUAAAGAGUGGGGCCAGCAUUCCUUGAGUCACGAAUCUUUGUCUGCCUUGUGCAAUUCCAAGUGAAGCCAGUUCAAUGCCUUGCCUGUUUGACCCUCCACUCUUAACCCCAGCUGGUUAACCCCAAUUUGGCUUUUUAUUAAACCAGAUUCAAAUCCCAAAGGGAUGUGUUGUUCAUGGUGUUGUCUACCACAAGAGUCAAACUUUCAUGGUUGGAAAUUUUGUUGAAACCUUUUCUUCAAUUAAAAAUAUCCCCCAACACUAAUUUGGUUGGUUGUGCACUUGUGCAUGGAUUUCACCACAUUGUUUAUGAUUUUUUUAAUUUUUUUUUUAAAAAUGACACAACAUAACAGCACUAUCUCGAUAUUUUGAAUUAAGACGAAAGAUCAAGUUAUAUCAAUGUAAAAAUUAUUAAUUAUUACAUAAUUUUGUACCCAAACCUAGUUACAACAAAUGGUUGCUAAAACCACAAUUGAGUUAAAAGAAACCAUACACUUUGAAGCAAAAAUAAUGCAAGUUACAAAUUUACAGUGACAAAGUCAAAGUCGAGAUGAAAGUGUAAUCGUCAUCUUUUAAUUUUUAUUUUUUUUAUUAUAUAUCUAAUUUAAAAUAUACAAAUUUAUAAUCUUGUUUGAUUACUUUUAACUAUUUAUCAUGUAAAAUUUUCAAUCUAUCACUGUUAAUUAAAUAUUUGUUUUAUACCUUUUCAAGUGAAAAGUAAUCUCAUCAAGUGCAUGUGAAAGAGAGAGAGAGAGAGAGUGCAUGGCUUGUGGGGUAGUUGACUUUGGUUAAACUGUGUUUUUAAUUACGAGAGAUGUAUGUGCUUGUCUUUGCACAUCCGAUGCCUUGAGACACGGCUUGCCUCGUCCCUCCCUCCCUCCCUCCCUGUUCUGUCAUCAUCUCAAUACAAAUGGUUGUAUGUUAGGUACAUAUAUAUAUUUUUAAUAAUAAUAUUUUUUAUAUACAUGGUUUAAUAAUAAGAGAGAAAGAGAAAUAAGUGAAAAAAAAAUUUCAUAAAGUCUAAUAAUAAUUGAUAUUCAUAAAGAAUCAUAAAAAUGAAGUGCCCAAACUUUCCAAUAAACUAAUUGACUAAUAUCUAUUAUCAAUUUAUUGAAGUCUGGUCCCAAAAUUAGUGAUUUUUUCUCCUUUAUAUUUUUUUAAUUGGGUUUUUUGUAAUAAAAUAUCGGGUUCAAUUGUGUUUAAAAAAAUUUCAUAUAUGCAAUCUUCGAGUCUUAAUUUUUAAAAAAAAAUUAUGAAGAGUCUUAUAUAAGGUUUUUUUUUUUUUCUCUGUCAUUGAUUACAGACACGUGUAUACAACAGAAAUUCCGCAGUCUUCAUGCUUCAUUACACAACAUGAUCAAAUUUCAAAGCCACCCCCACCUUCCCCUGUAGUUUGGUCAACAUAGGAUCCAAGUUUUACUGUCUAAAAUAUUGACAUGUCUUAGCUCUCAGAACCUCAUAGCCUUCAACCCAAGACAAGUCCCUUUCCUAUUGAAUCUCCCACCAGAUCAAGGAUGGCAACUUAAAAUAUAAAUGAUUUAAGGGAUUUGAAAAUUGCUCAUUCAAUUUAGUCCAUGCACUAAGUAUUUUCUCUGUGCUUCCCCAAGCAGCAUGGUUCCCACUAAGUGUGAAACAGAUAACCAGUUUCUAAGCAAGGAUCUGGGGUUUGGUUCUUAUCCCCAUCUGAGAAGUUUCAGACAGACAUGACAAACAAACAAGCAGGGGGGUUAGGUUAGGAUCUCUAGAAAUUGUGUGCAAGUAUUACAUAAUAAGACAUGGACAAGAGGGUCCAGAGAAAGUGUGCUUUAUCUGUCUUAACCUGAGAGAAGUGAUUCAAAAUCAAAGAAACGGCCAGAGAAAGCUAAUAAAGACAUUCCAACCUAGGCAAAAGAAAUGUCUCUCCCUGUUGUAUAAACAAAUAUAAAUCCAGUUUCAGUCUAGGUCUAGGGUUCUCUUGAAUUAAGUUAUUAAAACAUUGACUUUGUGGCUUGCUAGAAAGUUAAAAAUCUAAGAUCCUUUACGCUAACAACAGGUGGUUAAUGAUGCUUUGUCUUAUUCCUGCCAAUGUUCAAAAAAGAACACGCUAUCAGACUAGGACCAUCCAAUGUUCAGACUGACAGAGGCUACCUCAUCAUAUUGAAAUAUGGUUUUCUUUGCUUAGCAAAGGAAAAGAAACAAGAAACAAACAAAGAGUUGUACGACUUUUUAACCAUGGUCCACAUACAUUGAAGCAACCAAUUAGGAAUUCUACGUACAACAUGCCUCUACUGAAUCAAAUGUCAGAAACUCCAUGCUAAAAUGCACAGGAAGAAGCUGGCAAGAAUUCUUCUAUGAAACAAAGAAAUUUGACAAAUAACUUGGCAGGUUAGCAACCAUUACUGGUCUUGAAGUCAUCUUGAUAGAGCGAAAAGUAUUCUCCAUUUCUUCGGUAGAUAUGCAUACAAAGCCCUAAGUAGGAACAUUUAUUCAGCACUCUGCAGCCCUAAACUCCAUACACAGCAAAAAGGCUGUGCUUUUUCUGUUAUAAGCUUACAGUUUCUAGGACUCGAAUUAGAAAUUAAGACAAAGGAAAUGGAUCCUUUUCUCUCCAAAGAAAAGUUUAAGCUAAGCAACAAAAUGUGGUUUACGGUAUCACAAAAAUGGGUAAAGUGGAUCUUUCUCACAACUACCCAAGAAGAAAUGAAAUGAAAAGCAAAACCAAUGACUUGGAAACUGUACAAUUAGUGAAAAAUGCUUGAUCUCUAUCUUCCUACGUUGUCACUGCCUGAAUCCAUGAGAAUUGUUAGCCUCCUUGCCGUCUUCAGAAACUCACUGCAAAACAUAAAACAAUAAGAAAACAUUAUUAACAUCUGACAAAUCAAAAGCAAAUGUUUAGCAAGCAAAAGGAAGUGAUGCUAAAGAACAAUUAGAUUACCUGAAGGGCUCAUCUCCUGUGUGUUUAACAGAACCAGCAGCAUCGCAGUAGAGCACACUGCUCAGCAUCUCUGAACUUUCUAUACCAAACAUGUUGGCCAGCUUCCCAUGCAGCUCUUCAUAUGAUCUAAGAACCGAAAGAUCAAGGGUUCUACCCACAUUCUCUGAUUCCAUAAACACUUUACAAUGACCAGUCUCCAAGCCGAGAUCAGAUCUUUGAUGCUCUUUGCACCAAGGAGACGCUUCCUCUGAAGAAUUUUCCUGAGCGUUUUGAUGUAAUGCAGAUCCAGAGCCAUCAGAAGAAAUUGCAGUCUUCUCUGUAUUCCCAUCAGAUGAACUGUUUCCAACUGUAUCACCCGAGAAGCUCUGGGAAGCCUGCUGCUCACUGAAAAUGAGUUGACCAAACAAUAAAAUAUGAGGUGUCUUUACUUCAUUGCUUUCUUUCAAACUCUGGGUAGGAUUUCCCGUUGUAAGCAUGCAAGAUAUAUUCUUUUUGUUCACAUGGUCACUAGACAAGUUGUCAUUGGAGAUUCUAGUUGGCGGGGCAGUAUGAUCAAGUUGCUGUAAACCAAGCGGAAACAGUCCCAACUGCAGCUUGUUGGAGUGGAGAUCUGAUGAAGAUAACCCGAAUGGUGCAUGCCUGGCUCCCUGUAUGCCUCCAGGAAUGUUGUCUGUAAUGCAACAUACGGGGCUGCUGGACCUGAGAGAGUUGCCAGAGAAUGAUGGCAUUGGAAUUUGGCUAAGUAAGGAAAAGUCUGGGUGUUGUGGAAGUCGCAUCUUUUUCCUAGGUGGUGAGAAAGGAUUAAGAUGGAUUGCUGGUAUGUUUGAGACCAAUUCAACCAGCCAUGGGCUAACACGCUUCACAUUAUGGAGUAAAUCUGGCUCAUCCCAUGCUACCUGAAAGAUGUUAAUUCAAGAAGAAGAAAUUAGAAGCAAAACUAUGAGCAGAAGAUAAAGCUUAGAAAAUAACAUAUGAGAAUAAAUUAAAUUCUGAAGGCCACUAAUGAAGAGCAUAGCAUUGCUAAAACAAUAACAACACAUGGAGUUAAACUAUGACCAUAACAUAUGAGAAUGGUAAAAUACCUGCAGAAGACGCCAUGGAGAAUUAGGCCAACGGAUGGGAUCAACAACCUGAACAGAAGAUAUUGUUCCCAUGAACCAGCUAAUCCGUGAAGAGUCCUCAGUUUCAAAAGCCAUUUUGAACCUCAUCCCAGGAUACCAUUGGAUUUGCAUUGCUGCUCUAAUUGAUGAGGCCUUCACGCAGAACUCUGGAGUGCUUGCUCGUGGAUAGUAAACAACCUCAAAGGGCUGCCCAUUGGCUGCACAAGUCGCAGCUUCAAUAACAGACUCAACUCUUACUUUUCCCCUCAUAUCCCCAUUAGAGUCCUUCCUCAUCGAUUUACUCUCAUCCUCCCUAAAGAAUGGAGAAUAACCCCCAAAUUGUGAACCAGAGCUUCCACCCCCUGAAUUCCACCCACAUGGAUACUCAUGUCCACUCCCAAUUCCUCUCUUUGCCCUACGAAUUCCCACACAAAGAUCUCCGUUCUCUGUUCUGAGAAACACAAUUGAAUCACCAGCCACAAGCUUCUUCUGAUUCACAAAAUUACUCCACCCCGUCGUCAAAAGAUGUCGACGAGGUGUCCCCCUGUAUAUAUGCCUAAAUUUCCAAACCUCACCAUGGACAUCCUUGGCAAGAAUGGUCUGAACAGGAGGUUCUGCAUUAUAAUCCAGCCUAGGAAAUAUAGUCUCCGCACAAUAGCGUGGAACAGAGAAACCCCCACCAUUAUUAGCAUCAGAUUGAGUCAAUGUCUUAGCAAAGGAAGCUGGUUUCUCAGGAUUCUCCAUCCCAAUAUUUCCAUCAAAACCAUCAUCUUCAUACCCAAAAUCAUUUUCUCUCGAAGGGACCAACAUAAUUUUAGAAUAGACCUCAUCCGUUUCAGGAUCUGCCAUAUACUUAACAGCAGCAAUUCGACAUAGAACAAGUGAAGGAAUCAGAAGACUCCCAAAAUCUACACUCCCAUUGGCAUGUUCAGCAUGACCCUGAGGGAAGUAGAACACCUUGGUGUUCACUGAUGGCAUUUGUACCAUGCCACCAGCACAGGCAUGCCACAGUUUAGGAUCUAAGCAUUUUUCUGAAUUCUUCAAGAGUUCUUUCCUAGAAUCCAUAACUGUGAUCAUCUUCCAAUUCAGGUGGUCUAAAGCAUACAAAUAACUACACGUCCUUUGCUCUGUUUUCUCACUUGAUGAUUAUUCUGCUAGUACAUGAAAAUUAAAAGUAUCUUUAGCAAAACAACCAACUUUUUUUAUAUAUAAAAUCUACCCAAAAAAACAAAAAUUGUAAAUAAAGAAUGAUAAAUUUAUAUAUUUUUUCUAGUACAGAAAUAUUUUUAAUCAAUACACUACAUAAAUGGCAGAAAAUUAAUACAGAACUAAAAAGCAACCAAAUGAAACAGAUAAAUUAGCUGAUAUUGAACAAAACUGAAAAAGAAAAAAAAUACAAAACAAAGAAAAACAGAAUUUUUCAUAGCUAUAUUACACCAUAUGUUCCAGAGACACAAAAAAAAAAAAAAACCAUUCAAAGAAUUCACUUGAAAGAAAAAAGAGCAGACAUUAAAGAAUUAAAAGACCUUACCUUUUGAACAAAAGGAAGUAUUUUUCCACGAAAAGAAAGACAACCCAGAUUAAAAUGAACCCAAAUAAGCACAACAAUGCAGGAAACUCAAACCUUUACGGCCAAAACAAAAAAUAAGAUAUAUCUCAAUUAAAGAGAGAUAUAUCAAUCAAAGACUCUGAGAAGGAAAAGAAAAGAAGAGAAAACCCAGUUUCAACAAAACAAAAAAGCAGGGUCUUUGAGUUAAGGGAAAGUGAAGAGAGACUGAGAGAGUUUUAAAGAAGAAGAGAAAAGUAAGAGGAGAGAUUUUUUACAGUGAAAGUUUUUGUGUUGUUGCCGACCAGAGGACUGUGGAGAGACUAACAACUAUGAAUGAGGAAAAAAUAGUAUAAGAAAAAGCAAAGAGUUUAAUUUAUUAAUUAUUAAUUUCCUUUUAGGAUCGAGAAGGAAAAAGGAAGAUUUUUCUUUUUUCUUUUCUUUUUGAGUGGAUAUGGAUUGUAAAAAGUCCAAGAUCAAAGACAAAUUCAGGUGAUUUUGCUUUUCUAUUUUUUCCUUUGGCUUUUCUUUUCCUGCCUUUUUCAUUUUUUUUCUUUUUUACUAGUAUUAACUCUUCUUCUUUUACUUUUGUUUUUUAUUUGUUGGGUUUCUUUCCCACUCUACUCUCUAUUACCCAAGCGUGAGUUACACCUGUUCAAUCCCUUUUUUCCAUUUGGGUCUCCCAAUUUUGCACUAAAUUUUAGGUGAAAUUCCUAAGAUUUUCAAUGAAAUCAAACUAUCAAAGUACCCUAUAGAACUUACUUAUUAUAGUUAUUUUAUGCAAUAAAUUGAUGAUAAAGUUUAGUUUAUUAAAUAUGGUAAUUAAAAUUUUAAUAGUAUAUAGAUAACAUGGAUCGAGUGCAUAAACAUCUAAAUUUUAAGUGUUAAAUGACUUUAUUUAUAAAAAACAUUAUUUAUUACAUUUAUAUUAAUUAAAUAUAUACAUUCGAUUCUCAAAUACUAAAAAAUUACACUCGAAUUUAAUUCGAGACAUAAAAAUAUAUACAUGAUAUAAGAUUAAAUUGAAUGGUAAUUUAUAUAUUUGAGUAUUUGACUCAUUAGUUGAUAUAUGAUCUCUUAUUUAGAGAGUAAAAUUUAAAUUUUUUUAAUUAAAAAAAUUAAAUGAUAAUUUAUUAAAAAAAUAAAAUAAAAAUGAAAAAAAACAAUACCUUAAAUGUAAGUCAACGAGCACAUGAUUGUGGCCUCAUUUUGACAAGAGUGUCUACCACGCGACAGAGAAGCAAGUGGAAACAUAUCCCCUACAAAUCAGAAAAGGAAACAUCCAAAUAAUAAAAAAAUAAACAGAGAAUUUAUUUUUAUAAUUAAAUAAAUCUGUGUUCAAUUAAAUAUUUGAAUAAUCCCAAAAAAUAAUAAUUUUUCACCUUUUUCAUAUCACGAUAUUUUGCUGGAAGAUAUCACGAGUUUCAUGUACUCUGAAAUCAAGGCUGACUACAGUUAAAGUUUUCAUCUUGUCCGAGGCCCUAACUCUUCGGGGCUAACCAUGGUUAAUUAACCUUUUUUUUUUUGUUAAUCAGGUUUAAUCAAUCCAAUUAAUUAACCAUGGUUUAUGUUCAUUGGUCAACACCAUGACUCUUCUUCCACUGGCUGUUAAAUGUGUUUCCUGAUCUUUUGGUCUUAGGGACAAGAUUUGAUCCUUGCCACUCGGUUGGAUUAAUUUAACAUAAAUUAAUAAAAAAAAUUUACUUAAUCUACAAUGUGAAAUUACAAAUUUACCCUUCAAAUUAGGGUUUUUCUCUUUCGAUGCUUUCUAAGUUUAGAGCAUGUUUAAGCUUUAAUUAAAUAAGGCCUCAAAGCUUCACAACUCUCUUGAUUAUGGCUUUGAAUUUUGAUACUCCUUUGAAUAAUCAACGGGUUUAAAAAUCUUAUUUUUAGACCUUUUGAUUAAAUAAAUAUAUAAAUUGAGUUAUCGUACGGUUAAAUAUGAGUUUAGUAAUAAAUUAUUUUGAUCAAGCACAUAAUUACCCUUAGACUUUUUCAAUAGGAUAUUUUGUCUCAAUCUGAGUUAAAGACGGAUGUGCUAAUCUUUGAUUAAAGGAUAGAGAUUAAAGCGAGAUAGUUUGCAAGGAUUAGGGAAUUACGUUGGCAAUAUGAUGCUGACAUUGAGAUUAAGGACAAUUUAAUCUGUUUGAUUACAUGCGUUGCAUGAAAAAGCCAAAUUAUUCGGCACUUGAUUAAGACCUUGGUCGGUCUACUUUUGGGGUUUCUUUUUUUUCUUAGGCUGCCAAAAUUUGAGGCAACAAUGCAAAAAAAAAAAAAAGGUUUUUUGGUACAAUUUUGAAUGUGCAUUUUGGAUUAAUUGAGUUCUAACCUCAUAUUAGGGUUAGAGAUGAAUUAAUGAAUUAUGUUAUUUUUUAUAUCAAAAAAAAAUUAUUAGGGUUAGAGAUGAAUUGCGAAUAAUAUUAUUUUCAGUACAAAAAAAAAAUUAGGGUUAGAGAUGAAUUAUGAAAUAAAACCAAAAGUAAUGAUUAUUGUCAUAUUUUUUUCAAUUUAUUUACUUCAAGAACAAAUUUUCCUAUUCCUAAAGGCUAGAACAUGAACUUAAUCUUUUCUAAAUAUUAAUUGUUUGAUACAGACCGGAUACCAAUCUAUAUAAACUAUAAAUGAACAUUUAAGAUGGCAAUGGUCAUGGGGAAAAGGUGAGCCAUUGCCAUGCACCUCUAUGUUCAACUUUUUUUUUUUUAUUUUGCUAAAUAAUUUUGUCAAUAAAAAAAUAAAUAUGUUUGUGUGUGUUUUUUUUGUUUUAAAAUAUUAUAAUUACAAGUGCGAUUUUUACCCAAAAAAAACAUAAAUGAUUAAAAUUGAAUAAUUUCAAGGAAUAUUCUUAGUAAUUUCAUUUUCUUCCUCAAUUUCCCUCUCACAUUUUUUUCCUCAAAACAAAAGUGAAGUGAAGGGAUAAUCUCACAAAGUCAUAAAAACAUUCUGGACAAUAUCAUAAAUAAUCCAGAGCAAUAAGAAAGUGACCCUUUAACCAGACAUUAGCUACAAAUAGGCAUGAAUGGAUCAGACAGAAACAGUUGGAGAGGAAACAAACAUUGAAAAUGACACCAAUCUUGUCUUGCCCACCUACAUCCAUGCCCUCUCCUCUCCCAACAGAACUUGACCCAUCAAUUUAAUUAAUUUUUUCAAAGUGAACCUCUCCUCUUCUUUGUAGGUGGGCUUUUUCACUAACAAGAAUUAUAUAAACAAAAAAAUAAAAUAAAAUUGGUGGGCUCGCUUCUUUCCCUUACCCUCUUUUGUUUCUUUUUUAUUUAUUUAUUUAUUUAUUUAUUUUGCUUAGACUUCACACCACCCUACCCAGUCCUAUCACUAAAUGGAUUGUCUUCUGGUUGUCUUUCUUGAUGUGGGCCUUCUGACAAAUUCCAAUUUACACUAGACAAAUUUUACCUAUGUCCUUUGCAAUUAAAUGUUUUUAAUUUCCCCUUCUAUUUCUAUUUUCUUUUGUGGAAAAUUAACCUCUCUAGAGAAAAUUUUGUAGCCAAUGAAAUGCACAUCCAUUUCCUUUCACUGAUUUGAGAUGAUAAUUUCUUUUUAGUACAGUUUGAGCAUUCAUUGAGCAUUGGACUAUACAAAAAAUUAUAGGGAUGCUGAUGGGUAUUUGUAAUCGAAUAUUUUACAUUACUCAAUUCGAUUAAAUAAAAGUAGAGAUUUUAUAAUUGAAUUCGGAUAAUAAGGUUAUUACUCAUAACGAGUUCAGGUAAUUAUUUUUAAAAUAAAUUUUAAUUUUAUAUAUUAGUAUUAUUUAUAAAUUCUUGAUAAUUAAUGUAAUACUUAUUAAAAUUAAUUAAUUAUCCUAAAUAUGAUUUUAAAUUUUAAAUAUAUUUAUGAACUAAUUUUUAUUUAUUAAUUUAAUUUUUAUUAUUACUAUAUAUAAAAAUUAAUUUAAAUUGAAUAAUUAUCGGAUACGGAUAUUUAACAAAUAGUAUCUACAAUAUAUGGAUACGAGAUUAAGUAAUAAUUCAAAAAAUUAAUCGAGUAUUUAUAGGAUUCGAAUGCCUUAUCUAAUAAUAGAAUUUAGAUUAGAGUAUUUUAAAAAUAAUAGGUACCCUACUCAUUUACAUCUCUGAUAAAUUUAAUUGGUGAGUAAAUAAAGGUUAUAUUAACUUUUAACUAUUUUGGCCGUGCAAUGAUCGUAAUUGGUGACAAAUAAAAUGUUUAAAAUUAAACUAAAAAUCAACGCAUGUGAUGAUUAACACAACUAGCGCAAUGGAAGUAGUUUGUUUUGUUCCGAUCAUCUCCAAAAGCGAGUGGAAAAAUGUCUAUUAUAUACCAAACUUCUCUACCUAAAUUCAUUAAUAAUUUUACCAAUUUUAUAUUUCUUAUUAAUUCUAAACAAAUUCAAACUUUACUUAAUAUUGUAUGAAUUAUUUGCGUCGUUUUGGAUUUGAUUAUAACUAAUUGGGAAAAAAUCCUAAUCAAAAUAGAAUUAUGACCACAUUUUUUUUUUAAACGAAGUGGUUAGCAAUUUUCUAAUAAAGCAAAAAAGCAUAAUAUACAAAAAAAAAAAGCUCUUAAAUUAUUCAAGAAAAUUCAAAUAAAAUUUUAUAUUUUUAUUGCGUUAAAUUAAACCCUUAUACUUUUAUUUUAAGCAAAAUAAACCAUUGUAUUUUUUAUUUUAAGUAAAAUAAGCUCUUAUAACUAAUGAUUGACUUAGUCAAAAUGAUAUUUAUUAUUGUAUAUUAUGUGACGUUGAUGUGGCAUAUUAAAAUAUCAUAAUUGAUUAUGAUUUGACAUGUUGGUAUAUUAUCAUAAUUGAUAAUAAUAUUACAUACUAAUUUUACAUGAUAACAUGAUCACGUGAUAUUUUUCACUUUUCACAUCAAUAUCAUGUCAAUGUCAUAUGGAUUGAAAAUAACAGCUAACAUUUUUACUAAUGAUAAUUAAUCAAUUAUUAAUCAUAAAAAUUUAUUUAACUUAAAACAAAAAUAUGAGAUUUAAUUAAAAGCAAUAAAAAAUUAAUGACUUGUUUGAAUAUUAUUGAAUAAUUUAAAAUUUUAUUUGAGCAUUAUGCUAAAAAAAUAAAAAAUGUAACUAGUACUUUGACAAAAAAGAAAAUUGCCGACUCACGGUCCAUGUCUCUUUCACCAUGUUAAUGCUUUGUUAGACAAUAAAUGAUGAAUAAAGAUAAACUAAUAUCAACUUCUUUUAUUUUUUUAAGAAAUUUAUUCUAUGCAAAAUUAUUAUUACGUGCUUUUAACGAAUAAAAUAUGAAAUUUAAUUACAAAAUUUGAUAUCAAAAUAUUGGCAAAAAAAGUGUGUUGCGUCUCAGUAUCUAAUCAAAAUGAUAUUUUCAAAGAAAUUUGUCAUUAAUUUUUAUACUAUACACAUUUAAUACUAAUGGAAAAAGUAUGAUAAAUAUGAGAAGAACAAUUAUUUUUUCUUUGUUAAAAAAAUAGAGGGUUUAUAUUUGAUGUGUUGAUAAUUAAAGUAAAUUAUUAAUAUUUAAUUUUAAGUCUCUAAAGAUUCAUGAUUUUAUUUUAUUAAUGAGAUGGUAAUAUUUGGUGAGUUGAUAAUAUAUAGAAACUAUACUUUGUUAAUACAUAAAAUAUAAACUUAAAAAUAUAUUAAUUUUUUAUAUAUUAAAUAAAUUUCUUGAAAAUUUGAUCACAAAAAAUAUAUAUAUUUAAAGCACACAAAAGUAUCCUAAUCCAAGUUGAUACUUUAUCCAAAUAAAUAAAGCCGAAUUAUAAACUUACCCAUCAUAUUAUUCCCAAUGAUUGUGAGUUUCUGACCCUACAUAUGCUAAAUUAUUAAUUGAUCUGCAUUUACUAAGCUGAAAAUUACUGAUAGUAAAAAUUAACCUUCUGUCUUUUUGGGUCCUUGAUUUAAUCGUAGCCGUUUGUCACUGUUCAUAACUGACAAACACGUCACAUUAGCAGUCACUGCCACGGCCGGUUCUGGUAACUUACAUACAACCGGCCACGCUAGCGUGACAGUAUAAAGACCAAGCUAAUAGUUUAGGAUUUUCCACGUGGCGGAUAAUGGUAAGAUCUGAUUAAAAUUUUUUAUUGAUAUUGGGCCCUACCGAGGUGACUGUGAGAUUCUCGUCAGAGAAGGAGGUGAUGGGACAUGACGCGUGGGGCCCAAAAGUGGUGGGCCCAUGUCCGAAUCUCUGUCGUUACUUCUAGGUUGGAAGGAGAAAUCUUAAACCCCAGUUUUGUCGGAAACCUUUCUUACGACUUUUUUUGUGUGUAACUUUGUCUGCUAUACGCCUAUAACAAGCAAAAAGAAAAUAACUUUAAUGAAAAAUUUGGAAUAAUUGGCCAAAUUAACGUGCAAGAGGUUAGAAAUUUAACCUGCUUUGCUCGUCUUUUAAAAACAUUUGGUUCACGAAAUUGAAUAAAUAAAAUAAAAUACUUAUUAUGUGAAAUAAAAUAGAGUAAAAUAAUUAUGAAAUAAUUUAAUUUAUAAAAUAAAAUUAUUUUCCUAUGUUAUUCAAAUAUCGGGUUGAUAAAAAUAAUUUUUGAAUAACAAAAAAAAUAUUUAUGCGAUAAAAAAUACUUUUUAUUUUUGGGUACAACAAUUUUGCUAUUUAUUUUUUAAGUUUGAAAAUAAAAAAGUAAUAAAUUUGUUUGGAUAUAAAAAAAUAAUUAUUUUUUAAAAAAAUUAUACACAAAAUAUAUAAUUUUUUUAAUAAUAGAUGCAUGAUUUAAUUUUUAUAUAAAUUAAUUAUGUUAUAAGUUAUGUUAUGUUUUAAAUAUUUAUUUAUUUAAAUCAAUAAUAUGAUAUAUUUUUUUAUCUUUUUCUUUUAUUUUAUAUUAAUUUUAAAAAGUAAAAAAAUAAAAGCAUAGCCAAAUAGUUUUAUCCUAGUUUUUCUUUCUUGUUCUUCUUAAUUGUAACCAUUUGAGGGAUGAAAGGGGUUGUUAAUUUUCUUUUUACCAAUUUAAAGAAAAAGAUAUUUAAUUUUUUUCAAUAAUAAAAUACAUAUAUUUACUAUUGAAUCAAAUAUUUAACUAUUGAGAGAUAAAGCUUGAGUUAUAAGAAGAAUUAGGAUUCUUUUAGUGUUUCUUUUACCAGGAUUUGCUUUACUAUUUUCAUUUUAUUUUCUAAAAAUUAUUAUAAAAAUAAAUUACAUAGUCUACUUGAGCUUAGGUUAACUAUUAUGAGAAUGUAAUGAAGUUUGGACUUGAUCUUCUAAAUUUGACACUAUUGUACAAGAAGAAUGAAUAAUAAAGGAACAAAUUUGUAUUAGACUAAAAAUAAAUACAUUGCUUUCUUCCAAAAAAAAAAAAUACAUUGCUAACACAUAAGAAUAAAUUUAAACAUAAUUUGAAUUUUUUUACACAAACAAAAUUGUUUCAAUGCAAAAUAAAAAUACUUACAUUUUGGUAUAUGUGAUCUUAAAUUACAUAAUAAAAAAUAAAUUAAUUUAUAUUUCAUAAGUUUUUAUUUUUAUUUAAAAUUUAAAUUAAUAUCUCAAAUUUUAAUAGUUAAAAAAUGUCAUUUAAAAACCAAUAGAUGCAAUGUUGUUGCUUAAUAUAUUUUUCUUUUCGUUUCCUUUUAGAUUUAUUAAAUGGGCUUGCAAAUUGGCUGCUCCACGUACCCAUCACCAGUGUCUCUAUAAGAAUACAAAUACUUAUCACUGAAUCAAACUAAUUUGAUGCUGACUUGCUUAUUUUAUCUUUCAGGUUUAAAAUGACAUAUUCCAUUUGAGAUUUGUUUUUUGGUAAAUUCGUAAUGUUACAACAGCAUCUUCCUAAAUAUGGAGGUCCCAAACAAAUAUUCUCUUCCCAAUUAAUUAAAAAAUUAUAACAAACUUAUCAAUUAUUGAUUUACAUAUUUAUAUAAAUUACAAAUGUGAAGCUCAGCCAUAGAGUUUGGCCUCCUUCAGUUAGGUAUCUUGCCAUUUUGAGUAGGAAAAUUAAUGCUUUGGCCUAGGGACCGCACCACUUUCUAGUAAAUCCCCUAAAUGCAUCAAUUUAGUUGACAAAUUAGCUGUUAAUGGAAAAAAAAUGAAUAAUUAUUUUAAAGGAUUCUUUAUAUAUUUCUUUCCCCCGCCGUUUCGAAUUAAUUUUUAAUGAUUUUCAUUUUAAAAUUAUGUCCGAAAAUAUCCUUUUAAUAUUAAAAAAAUACAAAAAUUAAUAAAAAAACUCUGAGUAAUUUUGUUUUUAAAUUAAGGUUAAGGAAAAGGUGCACGUAAAAUAUCACGUGCCAUUGUUUUCGAAAUUAAUAAUGAUGGUCCCAAUGACCCAAAAUUAUUCCAAGGCCUAUAAGGACAUCAACAAGUUGGAGGAAAAACAAAAGAAAGAGAAAGGAGUACAUCAGGUAGAGAUCACUCAUGAUGAAAAGUUUCACUAGAACCACAAAACAUUUUGAGAGAAAACAUAUUUGUCCCUGUGUUCUUGCCCAACCCAACACUAAUGUGACCACCAUUGUCUAAUUUCUUUGCCAUAAUUAAUGAAAUAUACAUUUCUACUUGAAUUUCUCUUCCUUCACAAAUGCAUAGGGUUUGAUAAUGAAGUUUACUAAGCCUUUUUUUAAAAAAUUUAUAACAUGAUUUUUGUUGCAUAUUUAUUAUUUGUCAGUCUUUUUAUAUUUUUAAAAUCUAGUGCAUGUCAUAAUUUUUAUAUUUCAAAACUAUGAAAUUAAUUUUUAGGAAAAAAACACUAAAAGUGGGUUAUUAUUGUAGCUAGCAAAUCUUAAAUUUCAAGGUUAAAAUUUCUAAAGAUUAAUCGCUAAGAAAAGUUUUGUGAAUUUGCUCGUGAAUUUUAGAAAUGUCAUCGUUGAUUUACAAUAUAAAACAGUUAUUUUAAUUUCUCAAAUAUAGGAAAUUUCUUGGUAUUUAACCUAUGGAAAAGCAAAAGGGAGAAAAAUUGCAUCCGAAUGUGGCAUUUAAUUGACUUUGCCAUCUACUUUUUCCACUUCUAGAAGUAAAAAUGAACAAGCAAAACUAUGGUUCACUGCUACCUUGUUCGAGAAAAUAAAUUUUAAAAAAUUUCCAAAUGUGGCAUUUAAUUGACUAUUUUCAUUUUCUUUUCCACUUGUACACAAUGUAUUUUUUAAAUUUUACAAGUGAAUUUAGAGAGUUGUCUUGUAUCUAUUAAAUGACUAAGUAAGUCACUAUUAUUAACUUGACACACUGUAUCAAUUAUAUUUAUAAUUAGUAUAUACAUAUAUGAUUUUGGGUUAUACAAUGAAACAAAUUAAAAAUGGCAAAAUCAAUCCAAAUUCAAAUUAAUUAAAAAGUUAAAAGAUUCAAAUUCAAAAACACUCGAAUUUAAAAUAAACCUGAAAAAAUCGAACCUAAAUACCACAUUCCAAUGUUUACAUCUUACAUAAAAUUUAAAAUAACUUAAAAUUAACUAGAUAUGAAAUGGUUUGAACUCAAAACGGUCCAAACACGAAAUUAUCCGAGCCCAAAAUGACUAAUCUCGAUCUUACUCGUUUUGCUAGCUUGUCUCAUCUCAUAAUCUCAUUCUUUCCUUGAAAUUCAAUCUCAAGACUUUUAAAUUAAAAAUUUUCAAGUUAUUAAAAGCUAGAAAUGUAGAGGUGUGGACAGAUCGAGCUACUUACCAAGCCCUGGACAUGACUCUAACCCGAUCAAAAAAUAUUUAUAUAAUAUAGCAAUAUUUUUUAAUAUUCUAACAAUAAACCUAAUUAUUUUUCUCGAACUCAAAUAUAAAUUUAAAUUUUUAAGAUCUCAACCAACCUUUAAUUAAAUGUCUUUUUUAGAAAAAGAAUUAUUGAAACUUGUGGACAAGAAUCCCUAACCUAAUGACAAAGCAUUGUCAUGCAAAUGCAUGCAUCAAUGCUUUAAUGGGAUUCGGAGUUCCAAUUUCCAAGUCGCAAAUGAAGCAUGCAGCUAGCUAGCAUCCAUUAUUGCAUGAACAUCGGUUGCUUCAAAGAAAAAAACAUUGAUUGCAACACGUGUCCAACACAUUGGCGGAGGCUGCUGACAAGCCGCGUAGGCGGCCGUGCCUGGCGGCCGGCGCCCUUUAAUUGGCCAUUUUGCUUUGAUCUUAAAACUCUUCAACUCCCCUUUAAUGCAAGUCAACUUUUUUAAUUUUUUCAGCUAUGCGAUUGGAGGGACUUAAACUAAGCUGGAUUCAUUAAUGAGAAUGACCUGUUACUAUGCCAUAGAGAGCGGCCAUUUAACAAGUUCACAAUGGAAUCUCAUUAAAUAUCAAAGAGAGAAAUGGGCGAUGUUUAGCAUGUUUUAAUCCAAGACCCCUUGGGAAUUGCCAAAAAGAUUAAAAAAAAAACCCUUUUUAUCAUAAUGGAUCUACUAACAUUGGUCACCUUUGAGUGCAAUGACGAAUUUAAAAUUCUACAUGAAAGAUGUUAAAGGUAAUUAAUUGUUUGUUACUUGAUUUGAUUUGAGGUGAUAAACUUAUAUAUUUUAAAUUUUAUACAUAUAAUAAUAAAAAAUUAAAAAUAUAGGGGUGACGGCCGCCACAACCUUUGGUCGACUAUUGCCUGAGCCUCUUGCUAAGUUGUUAUUUAUACAACUAUUUGAUAUCAAAUUCAAAUGUGGUUGUCAAUGGUUAAUGUGAUAAUUUUCAAUAUAUAUGAUGAAGAUAUUAUUUUAAGGGAAAUGAUAAAUUAUAGUGGCGUCAUAGUUUUAAUGAAGUACAUAAAAUAUUUUUCCUUAAAGUUCGCAUUAUUUUCACACAUAAUUAGAGAUGCCAAGUACCCAUUAUUUUUCAAGUACCAUAACCAGAAUUUUGUUAUUUGAUAGGUUACCCUAACCUUAUAAAUACACAAUUAAAUUAUUGAAUUGCUAUUUGAAUCUUAAGAUCAUUAUCCUAACUCGUGACAAGUAGUUGUUUUACUACCUAAACCUUACUUGAACUUAAUUAUAAAAUAAUCUAAUCUUAAUUAAUCAAGUCAAGUAAUAUGGGUACCCGAUUAUAAGAUAUCCAUCAACAUAGAUAAUCACUAUUUAUCCUCCCCUUUGUGGAUUUUAAACCAUUUGACCGAUCUUACUUUUAAAUAUUAAUAUUAUUAAAUUCCCUUAAAGACAGCUCGUUAAUGAAAGCAAAGCCCUAGCUUGCUUUAAAUAUAAGUUAAUGAUGGAUAAGCUCUCUAGAAUCCGCAGGAGUAGGAGUCGGGGUCCUAAAUCUAGGACCUUGGCCAUAUCCCCUCUUUCCUUCUUCCUCCAUGUCUUCUCCUCCUACUUCCCUUCCACUCAUAGUUCCCAAGCAUAGGUUUUACCAUUUAGAGUUCUGAUAUCCACAACUAUUAAUUAAAAGUUAAAAAUUAAUUUAAAUGAACUGAAAUUUCAAAAACAAAGUUAACAAUUUAAAGAGCAUGACUACCUAUGGAGGACCAUCCAUUUGCCAUCUCAAGUUAAUCAAGUAACUUGAUAGUGCAAACCAAAUUUCUUGACCUAUAUAUAUCUGUGUCUACCACUCUCAUCCUUUUUUUUAUUAAUUUUCUAUUGACGACCACUCUAUUUUUCAACAAAUUUAUAUCAUUAUAUGAAGUAAAACAAAUCUAAAAUCAUAGCUUACUCUUGCCUUAUCCCAACUGACUCAAUCAACACUCCCACACACAUUCAUGAAGGAGAUAUUUGGUUAGGUAUUCAACCUUGGUUGGCUAUAUAACUUGGUGCGGAUUGACCCAAUUUGUCAUUGGUUUCUAUUGACAAGUGUAAGUAGAUCAUUAUGCAUUCGGGAUUUUGAGCCUAUAAAACUUAUUUUGGACUUUGUUUGAGCUUUGGUCCAAAUUUGCCAAACACAAUCAUCAAUUUUUGGACUCAAUUUUGGGCCAUGUGCUUGACUUUGACUACUCCAAAUUGUCCUUGACAAUGUUAAAACUACUAGUAAUAUUUAGGGAUUACACUUUAUACACCAUACAGUAUCACUUAAUUACAGAGCCUAUUCAUGACAUCAAACUCAGUUAGACUCAUCUAAUACAAAAUUAAGUUGUAAUUUUUCUAAUCUUCAUAUAAUCUUUAACCGUUAGUAGCUUGCUUUCCUAAAGAGACAUGGAAAAGGUAGAAUCUUGCCUUUGCAUUUUAAUCUGCAAAUAAUUUUGUAUAAUACCCUUUCAAAUUGUUAACCUUGUCUGGGUUUUACACAUUAAAAACCUCACAGCCGUAGCUCAGCCAAGUCCAGUUAUUUGGCCGACAUUAGGCCAAGCCAUUCCCUUUAAAUAAAACAAUUGGUUUAACUUUAGCAGUUUACCAUCCUAUUAAACUUAACAAAAACCCUUCAAUCAAAAUAUUUUUUUUAUUUCUUAAGUUUCACUCACCUACUUUGAUUGCAAUAGCCAUUAAGGCUUGAGUACUGAUUGAAGGGAAUCCAGGACUACUGGCCAAUGGCUUAUAAGCCUUAUGGGGACCAGCAUUUUUUUUUUAUACGAGGAAUCAUACUUGUAUGGACAAAUUUGGGAACAUUUCUGCUUACCCACUUCAUUAUUCUUUUCUUACCUUGAAUAUUACCUGAUUUUCUAAACAUAAAUUUCAAAUUGGUUCAUCUUAGUGUCCACACAUGCAACAAAACAUAUUGGUGUUUUCUUGUACUCAUAUUACUUUGGGUUUGGCAUGAACUAUUUGGCUAGUAGCUCUAACCUAAUCUGGGCCCUCAUCUUCCCAUAUAGAAUGCCACUUUGGACUUUCCCUAGCUUGGAUUUGUUUGAGAAAACAAAAUUCAUCUAGGAAAGCUUAAUCUGUAAUAGAUUGAAUCAAUGAUUUGAUUUGAAAUAAAAAUUAAUUACUUAUAAUAUAAAAUUGAACACCACCUUCAAUCCGUUCUUAACUGCAACUAAAAUUGAUCUUUCUCUCAAGACAAUCCCAACCUGGAUUGGUUUGAUGGAGCAAAUAUUCAGGUUGUUGAGGCAAUUUUUUUUUUUUUGUGGUUGGUGAUGGAAUUGACAAUGAGAUUGACACAAUUCUCACUUGUGGUAUAUUGUCCUAUCACUGUCCCUAUUGGUAAAGCUGUUCACAAUCAAAGCAUUACUUAAAACAUGCCCCCCAGAAGUAUCAAACCAUAUGAUUAGAAGUCCAAUCAACUUUAGAAUAAUGAAAGUAACUACUAUCAUUGAUUUUUAAUUUUAAUUUUUUGUUUCUUAUAUGCUUUGUAACACUAAUCAUUACCUGUAAUGGAGUAGAAAACUUUUUAAUGUUUGGUAGAGUUGAGUCAGAUAUUAGGAGGAUUGGGACACACUGCCAAAUGCUUCAUAACAACCUUACGCAUGAUUACAUUGAUUUUGAUUAUCUAACCAAAUUAGCUUGAAAAAAGGUGAAGGCUCUGGGGGGGAUUUGUUUUCAAAACAAAGCUCCAUUCUCCUGCAACAUUUCCAUUACUUAAAAUAUCAGGGAUUUGCUCAGUUUGGUUCAUCAACCAUGAUAUCUAUGGCAAGCCUACUUUUGCUUCAAACUCAAGAUUGUCAAGUGUGACAUAAAAUCAUUUAUUUGCUUUCUGAUUUUUGGGUCUUUAUCACUCAAAAGAAAACAUCUGAUGAAACCUCCUCACACACUUCAAACAACCUUUUUCCACCAUGUCUCCUUAUCACCAACCCUUAACGUUUUCCUCAAAAUGGGCAAUUUUUAUUUUUUUUUUUCAAUUACCCAUUAGAAAGCUUUGCUAGAGUUCCAAACAAGCUUCCAAUUAUAUUUUCAUGGUCAUGACAGCAGUUGGGGGAGAGCUGAAUGUUCGUUGCUAUUGAAGAAACAAGCAAAAAAGUAGCGGCCUUAAUGGUGGAAUGUGUAGAAUGGAAGGAAAAAUUGAAGAAGAGAUGCUCCUAUAUAGGAGAAGCUUUUUUCUUUUCAACUGAAAAUAACAAGUUCUCAAAUUCCAUUACUCAUCUCAGAAAUUUUGAUUUCUACUAACAAAUAAACUGCAAAAAGAAUUCCCAUGAGGAGGAAGAAGAUUAAAAAAAAAAGAAAGAAUGCAAAAAAAAGGGAAGGAAAACAACACAGACUCCAAUAACUAAUGACCUUUAAAGGCUUACUCAAUACUAAACCUACAACUCUUGCUACCCUUAAGCUUCCAUGUUCUCUACCCUUUUUUUCUCAGUUCUCUCAUUACAACCCCCUCUCUACUAUCUAAAAAUAUUGGUCAUCUAUUGCUCCUAUUCCCCCAUUCCAACCCUGUACAAAAAAACAAUGAACAAAGAGAUAAAAUAACAGUAAGAGAAUAACACAAGGGUAAAAAAGAGAGAGAGAGAGGGAAACAGAGAGGAGAAAGUUUAUCCCAGCAAUGGGGAUUCAACAAUUCCCCACACCCUCCCUCACAUAAAAUCC
rnacentral:lncRNA from 1 species